UCGGGUGGCGAGGUGUCGGUGUGACGGCUGGCGGCCUUCGUUGGUGCUGGUGGCCAGGUUCCUCGGCCGCUCGGGAGGCCUCUGGUGGGUGGUGGUCGCGGCGGGAGGCCUUCUUCUUCGUCAGAUCUGAAGGUAUGACUCCUCCACCUUUCUAGCUCACUCCUCCUCCCCCAUACAUGGUGUCCGUCGGCCUUGGCUGCCGGCGCGCUGGCUGGGGAGAUGCUGGUGGCACGGAUUUGGGUCCGGGGGAAACCCUAGGCCGGCUGGUCCGGCCUCGGCGGCGGCGACGCCCAAGGGCGCCGCUUUCCAUCCUUGGAGGCGCCGCUGAGGACCCUCCCUGUCCACCCCCUACCUUGCUCCCGAGCGAAAGCUCAAAAUCCUCUCCGGAUUGGGCGGUGGCGUCGCCGUUCGCGUCGUGCUCUCCUUGGAGACGCCGCCUGGGGAUGCUGAAGGUUUGGGUGAGUGUUGCCUUGGUGUGGAGGCGUCUGGCAGCUGCUUUGUCCUCUCUACAGUGGCCAGCGAUGUCAUGAUUUGCAGAUCCGGCGCCCCCUUUGAUGGUUUCUCUCCGGUGUGGCUGUUGCCGUGUUGUUGAGUACCCGAAUCUUCUCUGCGGCGUUCGAUUUUGCGCUCGUGAUGCUCGCUGUUGUGGCUUGGCUCAGUGCUGUUUCAUCCUCUUCGAUUGCCCCAUGUGGCUUUCCCUCUUUGCUGAUUGUCCGUGGGCGGCGACCUUGUAGCUGGCGUGGUGUGCUUUUGGCUACGUGCAGGUCAGGAGGCGUGCUCUAGACGAGUGGUCGUGAAGCUGGCUCCUAUCCAAGCUCUCGGGUGAGCAUCUCUCUUGCCGACGAGGGUAGGGGCCCUUUUCGGCAUCUGAGGAGAUAGGAGUUGUCCCUUCUCCGCCCGAUGCUCCAGACACAAUCUUGGUCCUUCUCUUAGCAGACGGCUGAUCCAUUGCAAUCUACUAUGUUCGGGUGUCCUUGGCCCUUAGUGUAGUGGGCAGAGACACUAGCAAGCUGUGCUCUUUUUUCCUAUUUUGUGCUUGUUAGUGAGUGUUGCGUUGUAAGCUGCUCCAUCAGCCCCUUGUAUCCUUUACGUCUUUGUUAGCUCUGUUGGUUCUUUGUAACGCCUGGUCGGUUGAUGGCUUUGUUAAUUCAAAGCCGGGCUCUUCUUGAGCCUUCGUUCCAAAAAAAAUUGUCCAACCUUUUUUUCCCUCUCACUCUUCUCUUGUUUUGUUUUUUGUAUUGGCACCCAUGGUAGCCCAUAGACCAGCCCUUGGCGGUGAGAUCAACUCGGCGGUGCAAUGUAAUGUAAUGUAAUGUAUGUGAGUAUCUGCGAUUGUACAGUGUUAAAAAAAAGAACUAGCAAUCGGUCAUAAUUUAUUCUNNNNNNNNNNNNNNNNNNNNNNNNNNNNNNNNNNNNNNNNNNNNNNNNNNNNNNNNNNNNNNNNNNNNNNNNNNNNNNNNNNNNNNNNNNNNNNNNNNNNNNNNNNNNNNNNNNNNNNNNNNNNNNNNNNNNNNNNNNNNNNNNNNNNNNNNNNNNNNNNNNNNNNNNNNNNNNNNNNNNNNNNNNNNNNNNNNNNNNNNNNNNNNNNNNNUAGCAAAGAUCUCACACAAAUGCAUUAUCUUGUCACAGGUCUAAAGGAACACCGAGCAACACCUUCAAACUAUUAGUUUACAAAUAACAUAUUUGCACUCACCCGAUUUUGAUUUCUCAACUUUCAAUACCAAGCAAAUUCACCUUGCAACUAUUGAAACUAUCUCUAAAGAAAACUUUUGAAACCGGAAAACAUAUUCCUCGGCUGGCUCAAACCUAUUUGAUAGAUUCUCGUUGCAAUGGUUUCACACAUGUGACGAUCUAGCUAACACAAAUAAUAAAAUUAUAUAUAGGAAUCCUAUUUUUAAAUCUAGUGGUUUUAUUUAAAAAAUAGUAGAUUUAUUAUUAAAAUGUUGUAAAAUUUCUAAAAUCAUGAAACACUUAGAAAUAAUUGAAAUGGAACAUGAAUAUUAAUGUAUUAUAUAAAUUUUAGUAAGAAUGGGAUGUUCGCAAUGCAAAAAAAUUAAGAAAUAGAAAGACAAGUUUUCUGUGUAAAGAUCACAAAACUUGCCAUACUAGUGCUGCAUUUUUUUUGGGGAAAAAACACAAAUAAUUUAAGAACUUGUGUUUUAUUUUGAAAAAUCUAGAGUUACAAUAUAAUUCCAUAUUUUAUUAAAAAACUGCAAAUAUAAUUUUUUAAAAAGAAGUAUUUGGGGAAUAAGAUCAUAAACAUUCCCUAAAAACAGAAGUUUAUAUAUAAAAAAUCUAGAGUACAGUAUAAUUUCAUAUUUUAUAAAACCACAAAUAUAAUUUUUAACAAAGAAGUAUUUAGGGAAUAAGACCAUAAACAUUCCCUGAAAACAGAAGUAUUUAGGGAAAAUAUCAUAAACUGAAGUAUUUAGGGGAAAAUAUAAGUAAAAAACGCCUUAUAUUUUGAGAUAGAGGGAGUACUUCUUUGGAAAAUCACAAAUAGUUUAUGAACAAAUAUGUUGAUUAUCUAUGACAGUUCCUAAACUUAUUUUUUAUAUAAAUUCCGGAGUUGCAAUAUAACUUCGUAAUUUCGAACUUAUCCUGUUUCCAUACUUUUUACAUUUACUGCAUGUAUUUAGAUUUUUAUUGCUAAAUUAGAUUCGUUUUUUAGUAGACUGUCACGUGCGUGAAACCAUUGUCAUGUCAUGGAUCAAACCACAUUGGGUCAUGUAAGGAACCAAAUUUAUCCGAGGUCAAGGCCCAAACCAUGCAUAUUGUUUUCUUCAAAGUUGACAACAUUCUAUAUCUUUGCGAGUCAUGUCCUACUUCUACGCCGAAUUUCACUCGCUUUUGCCUACCAGCUUUGUUUGGAUGAAUUACUUUACUAUACUUAUUGUUUGUUGUUAUUUCACUGUAGAUGAUCCUUGACGAGGCAGUUAAAAUUUAGCAUAGUAAAUACGAACAUGAGUUUCAAUCACAAAAUCUCAAAAGAAUCGCGCACAAGCAUCAAAUUAUAUGCUUACUCGAACCAACGAUCUGAUCAUCUGGAAGCGGCCCAUGAGAAAACACGCAAAAAGGUGUAGGCAGAACAGAUGCCACACGGCGCGCAGAAAUAUAGUGAGUAUCCGAUGCUCACCGAGACGAGUGCCGUGUAGAAGGCGACCUGCACGCGGCCGCCGAGGACGUCGACGGCGGCCUCGUGGAUGCCGGGGAGCCGCUUGACGGCCUUCUCAACCGAGCCGGCGCACGCGGCGCACGUCAUCCCGGACACCGCGAACACCGCCACCUUCUCCUCUUCCUCCUCCUCCUCCGCUGCCUCCAGAUCGACAGCGGCUGACCCGCCUUCUCCUCCACCGCCCUCGCCGGCGACCGCGGCGGCCCUCGGUUGCCGCGGCAUGGACGGGUACCGCGGCCGCAGCGUGAGGUGGCCGCUCUCAUCGGAGCCGCUGCUGUGGAAGCAUGUGAGGAAGAGGGACCGAGUGGCCGCCGCCAUUGGGAGCGUGAAGAGAAGGUUUUAGGUUGGGUUGGGGGUUCUGAUCGGGGGUGGGAAAAAUGGUUCGAACAUUUGCAGAUUUUAUAGUCGUACCUGCCCGACGCGCCGGAACGGAAAAUACUGCACGUAGCCACGUACGCCGUUCGGUUACUCAACUCACCAUUUUGUAAUGGGUGGGCUUGGGCCGCAAGCAAGUGAGGGAUUGGACGGCUAGUUUCUUAAGCGGGCCGCGACGACCUCGGACUGUCGAAGACGUCAGACACUCGACACGCAGCCCAGGGGGUCCUCUGGGGAGAAGUCGAAUUUUCUUUCCUUCUUUUUCUUAAUGACGCUCGGCAAGAAACCCACGCUUAAAUCCAAACACGGCAUUCAAACUUUGACAUUCGUGCUCACAUUUCGAAGUACUACACGUAUUCAGUCGGUUUUGUUUUAAAAAGAGCGCAAGUUGCAUGAUUGUAGGCAGCACGCCACACAAAAGAUCCAAUUCGAAUUUGACUUGGAGUUGCUUAUGAUAGCAGGACGCUCCCACGCAUGUCGCCUCAGGGGUCAGAGCUAAGCAAAUGUGAUGUGAUGUCGAAUUCGAAUUAAAUUAUCGGAAGACCCCCGGUGCCCACGAAUCAAAUUCGAGCCCCGGUUCCGAUUUGCCUUUGAAUUUGGUCCCCCGUUUCAAAAGCAACGAAUGCCAGAAAUCAUGAUGCCACGACAGGUGACCUUGGUAAAAUUAACCAGCCGUUCUUUUCACAUCUUCCUGGUGUACGUCUACGUGCGUGGAGUGUAGACCAAUCUCCCUGGUAGCAGGAGCCAAUCAUGGAACCUCUCAUGCAUUUCUUUGAAGAAAUGCAUGCAAUAACGCAGAGACAUAAAACGCCCGGAGGACGGAGGACGGUCUUGGUUCACUGAAUGAUUCAUCAGACGGUUUGGUUCACUGAAUCUUUGAUUCCUGGACACUUGCUUCUUCUUCUGUUAUUAUAAAGAGCCUGAGGUUGCCAUUUCGUUAAACUACCCCAUGCAUGGUCGCGAUGACGUUUUUUAUGGAAGGGAGCUACCCCAAUCAGAUGAAUUCAGAAUUCAGAAAAUGUAAGCAAGCUGAGAAUGUCAUGCGUACGUGGACGCUUUUCGUUGUCUUCGCCCGAUAGAAGUCACCGCAGUGUAUUAGUAGUGUUGAGAGAAUUAUAUGGUUGAUGGAUGUUUGAAGUUGAAUCCGUUGCAGAGAGAGCAAAAAAUAUUUGAAUCGCUUGGAAUGACGUGCACACGUAGCCUAAACCAAAUAUAUAUCGGGGAAGUCAAAUUCCGAUAGGAGAUUGAUGACCAAUACGACAGGGAUUGCGUGGUAAAUAAUCAAGUGUUCCUUGUUUUGACACCAUCCCAGCAUCGUCGGACGAAGAUAACUUAGCUGGCAAUCAAAUGAAUUGACUAAUGUGUCGCAACUGAUUGAUUUGUAUAGGCUGGUUAUAGGUUCGUUACGGGUAGGUUGAUUCUUUGGUGUAGCAAGUAGCAACUAGUGGCAUCAAAUUCUGGUUUCACACGGAGCGUAGCUGCGAGCUCGAGCGUAGCCACCACCCUCGACUCCACGCUGCGCCACUCCGGCCGCUGCGGCCACCGCCCCACCUCUGUCGCUGCCCGCGGGGCAGCGGCGCCACCACCCCGUGUUGGUGCAAAAACCCUAACCCUAGCUAGCCCUAGCUCUCUCUCUCUCUGUGGCACGAACCGGGAAGGAAUGAGGAAGACACGAUGAACAGGAAGCUUUUCCAGCGCACGAACGCCCGUCGCAACCACGACGUUUCCUUGAGCACGAACUUAACACCUCCGCCGUUAUAACGAUCGAUGCCGCGAUCUUAUACCCGGGCCAGCGCUGGGCCACGGCCCCCACGCCUCUACCCACUACUGCGCCUGGUUCGGCACGCUCCGUGCGCGCCCACGACCGCGCCUCCACGCACUCGCCGCGCCGAGCCCGCAACGAACCAACGCGAUCACCACGUCCCGAUUGCCAAUGGCUUCGCCCCACACACACACACCCGGUGUACAGAUGCACGAACACGCCCGCGCACCACAUGCACACCUACGCCGCAAACCCGACGCGCCCGACACGCCUAGCGUUCGCCCAUGCACGCGCUCGACGCGUCCGACUCGUCGCCACAGCUUAUUAUGCCCAACACACACCCCUUAAGCCAUGGCUCAGAGGAGGCCAUCUUGCUACCUCUUGAGCAUUGCGUUGGUUUUUCCUAGUGCAUUUUGAGGAAGCCCAUCAUUGGAAUAUACAAGUCAAGUUCUAUAAUGAAAAAUUUCCACUAGUAUAUGAAAGUGACUAAAUCAGGAGACUCUCUAUCAUGAAGUUCAUGGUGCUACUUUGAAGCACAAGUGUGGAAAAAAGAUAGUAACAUUGUCCCUUCUCUCUUUUUCUCUCUUUUUUUCUUUUUUUUCUUUGGGCCUUUUCUUUUUUUUUCUUGGCCUCUUCUCCUUUUUUUUAUUAGUCCGGAAUCUCAUCCCGACUUGUGGGGGAAUCAUAGUCUCCAUCAUCCUUUUCUCACAUGGGACAAUGCUCUAAUAAUGAUGAUCAUCACACUUUUAUUAUUUACAACUCAAUACUUAGAACAAAAUAUGACUCUAUGUGAAUGCCUCUGGCGGUGUACCGGGAUAUGCGAUGAAUCAAGAGUGACAUGUAUGAAAAAAUAUGAAUGGUGGCCUUGCCACAAAAUACGAUGUCAACUACACGAUCAUGCAAAGCAAUAUGACAAUGAUGAAGCGUGUCAUAAUAAACGGAACGGUGGAAAGUUGCAUGGCAAUAUAUCUCGGAAUGGCUAUGGAAAUGCCAUGAUAGGUAGGUAUGGUGGCAGUUUUGAGAAAGAUAUAAGGAGGCUUAUGUGUGAUAGAGCGUAUCAUAUCACGGGGUUUGGAUGCACCGGCGAAGUUUGCACCAACUCUUAAGGUGAGAAAGGGCAAUGCGCGGUACCGUAGAGGCUAGAAAAUUGUGGAAGGUUGAGAGUGCGUAUAAUCCAUGGACUCACAUUAGUCAUAAAUAACUCAUAUACUUAUUGCAAAAGUUUAUUAGCCCUCGAAGCAAAGUACUACUACGCAUGCCCCUAGAGCGAUAGAUUGGUAGGAAAAGACCAUCGCUCGUCCCCGACCGCCACUCAUAAGGAAAGCAAUAAAAGAACACCUAUGUGUCAAAAUUGUUACACAACUUUUACCAUACGUGCAUGCUACGGGACUUGCCAACUUUAACACAAGUAUCUCUCAAUUUCACAAUUACUCAACUAGCACACUCUAAUAUUACCACCUUUAUAUCUCAAAACACUUAUCAAGUAUCUAACUUCUCAUGAUAUUUAAUGAACUUAAUAUGGAAGAUUAAUUUCAUAAUUAAAGCAAAUUACCAUGCUGUUUAAGACUCUCAAAAUAAUAUAAGUGAAGCAUGAGAGAUCAAUAAUUUCUAUAAAAUACGACCACCGCCGUGCUCUAAAAGAUAUAAAUGAAGCACUAGAGCAAAAACUAUAUAGCUUAAAAGAUAUAAGUGAAGCACAUAGAGUAUUCUAACAAAUUCCGAAUAAUGUGUGUCUCUCUCAAAAGGUGUGUACAGCAAGGAUGAUUGUGGCAAACUAACAAACAAAGACUCAAAUCAUACAAGAUGCUCCAAGCAAAACACACAUCAUGUGAUGAAUAAAAAUAUAGCUCCAAGUAAAGUUACCGAUGGGUGAGGACGAAAGAGGGGAUGCCUUCCGGGGCAUCCCCAAGCUUUGGCUUUUUGGUGUCCAUGGAUUUACCUUGGGGUGCCUUGGGCAUCCCCAAGCUUAGGCUCUUGCCACUCCUUGUUCCAUAAUCCAUCAAAUCUUUUACCCAAAACUUAAAAACUUCACAACACAAAACUUAACAGAAAAUCUCGUGAGCUCCGUUAGCGAAAGAAAACAAAACACCACUUCAAGGUACUGUAUUGAACUCAUUCUUUAUUUAUAUUGGUGUUAAACCUAAUUUAUUCCAACUUCUCUAUGGUUUAUAAACUAUUUUACUAGCCAUAGAUUCAUCAAAAUAAGCAAACAACAUACAAAAAACAGAAUCUGUCAAAAACAGAACAGUCUGUAGUAAUCUGUAACUAACGCAAACUUCUGGAACUCCAAAAAUUCUACCAAAAUAGGAUGACCUAGAUAAUUUGUUUAUUGAUCUGCUGCAAUUGUAAUCAGUAUUUUAUCACGUUCUGGUGAUUUUUAACAAUUGUUUUCGUGAACAGAAAGUUUCUGGAUUUUCAGCAAGAUCAAAUAACUAUCAUCCAAGAAGAUCCUAUAGGUUUAACUUGGCACAAACACUAAUUAAAACACAAAAACAAAUCUAACCAGAGGCUAGAUUAAAGAUUUAAUCCUAAACAGAACCAAAAAGCAAAAAACUAAAAAUAAAAUUGGGUUGCCUCCCAACAAGCGCUAUCGUUUAACGCCCCUAGCUAGGCAUAAAAGCGAGGAUAGAUCUAGGUAUUGCCAUCUUUGAUAGGCAAUCUAUAAGUGGCUCUCAUAAUAGAUUCAUAUGGUAAUUUAAUUUUCUUUCUAGGGAAGUGUUCCAUGCCUUUCCUUAACAGAAAUUGGAAUCUAAUAUUCUCUUCCUUCAUAUCAAUAAUUGCACCGAUCGUUCUAAGGAAAGGUCUACCAAGAAUAAUAGGACAUAAAGGAUUGCAAUCUAUAUCAAGAACAAUGAAGUCUAUGGGCACAUAAUUCCUAUUUGCAACAAUAAGAACAUCAUUAAUUCUUCCCAUAGGUUUCUUGAUAGUGGAAUCCGCGAGAUGCAAGUCUAAAGAGCAAUCAUCAAAUUCAUGGAAACCUAACAAAUCACACAAAGUUUUUGGAAUCGUGGAAACACUAGCACCCAAAUCACACAAAGCAUAGCAUUCAUGAUCUUUAAUUUUAAUUUUAAUUGUAGGUUCCCAUUCAUCAUAAAGUUUUCUAGGGAUAGAAACUUCCAACUCAAGUUUUUCUUCAUAAGAUUGCAUUAAAGCAUCAACGAUAUGUUUAGUAAAAGCUUUAUUUUGACUAUAAGCAUGAGAUGAAUUUAGCACGGAUUGCAACAAGGAAAUACAAUCUAUCAAAGAGCAAUUGUCAUAAUUAAAUUCCUUGAAAUCCAAGAUAGUGGGUUCAUUGCUAUCUAAAGUUUUAACCUCUUCAAUUCCACUUUUACCAAUUUUUGCAUCAAGAUCUAAAAACUCCGAAUUUUUGGGACGCCUUCUAACUAAAGUUGACUCAUCUCCAGUCCCAUCAUUAUCAAGAUUCAUAUUGCAAAACAAAGAUUUAAUAGGGGACACAUCAAUAACUUUUAAAUCUUCAUCUUUAUUAUCAUGAAAAUUUUCCGGUUUAGCGGCCAUCUUAUUAACUAAGGUGGCCUGCUUAUCUGAGAUUUCAGCUAUUAGUUUUUCGAGAUGAGCAAUCUGAGAUUUCAAACCAUAAAAUUCCUUAGACAUAUCAUCGAGCUCUUUAUUCAUAUAUCCCAUAAAAGCUUUUUUGUUCCUUAAGCUCGUUUCUAAAGAAAUUAUUAUGCUCAAAUUGUAAAGUCAUAAAACUUCUGACGUUGCUUUCAAUCUCUUCUAACCUUUUAAGGUGAAGAUCACCAAAUCUAGGUAGAGCCAUCGUGACAAGCAAGCAAUCCAACACACGAGCAAACAAGAAGCAAGCGAAAAAGAGGCGAAGGGAAAAGGAGGGCGAAUAAAACGACAAGGGUGAAGUGGGGAGAGAAAAACUAGAGGCAAAUGGCAAAUAAUGUAAUGCGAAGGAUAAGAGUUUGUGAUGGGUACUUGGUAUGUCUUCACUUGUCUUGGCGCACACCUCCCCGGCAAUGGCGCCAGAAAUCCUUCUUGCUACCUCUUGAGCACUGCGUUGGUAUUCCCUUGAAGAGGAAAGGGUGAUGCAGUAAAGUAGCGUAAGUAUUUCCCUCAGUUUUUUAGAACCAAGGUAUCAAUCCAGUAGGAGGUCACGCCCAAGUCCCUUGCACCUACACAAACAAAUAAGAACCUCGCAACCAACGCGAUAAAGGGGUUGUCAAUCCCUUCACGGUCACUUACGAGAGUGAGAUCUGAUAGAGAUGAUAAGAUAAUAUUUUUGGUAUUUUUAUGAUAAGGAGUAAAAGUAAAGAAAGCAAGUAAACAGUAAUGGAAAUAACGGGAGAUUAAUAUGAUGGAAAAUAGACCCGGGGGCCAUAGGUUUCACUAGUGGCUUCUCUCAAGAUAGCAUAAGUAUUACGGUGGGUGAACAAAUUACUAUCAAGCAAUUGAUAGAAUUGAGCAUAGUUAUGAGAAUAUCUAUGUAUGAUCAUGUAUAUAGGCAUCACGUCCGUGACAAGUAGACCGAAACGAUUCUGCAUCUACUACUAUUACUCCACACAUCGACCGCUAUCCAGAAUGCAUCUAGAGUAUUAAGUUCAUAAGAACAGAGUAACGCUUUAAGCAAGAUGACAUGAUGUAGAGGGAUAAAUUCAUGCAAUAUGAUAUAAACCCCAUCAUUUUAUCCUCGAUGGCAACAAUACAAUAUGUGCCUUGCUGCCCCUGCUGUCACUGGGAAAGGACACCGCAAGAUUGAACCCAAAACUAAGCACUUCUUCCAUUGCAAGAAAGAUCAAUCUAGUAGGCCAAACCAAACUGAUAAUUCGAAGAGACUUGCAAAGAUAACCAAUUAUACAUAAAAGAAUUCAGAGAAGAUUCAAAUAUUGUUCAUAGAUAAUCUUGAUCAUAAACCCAUAAUUCAUCGGAUCUCGACAAACACACCGCAAAAGAAGAUUACAUCGAAUAGAUCUCCAAGAGAGUCGAGGAGAACUUUGUAUUGAGAUCCAAAGAGAGAGAAGAAGCCAUCUAGCUAAUAACUAUGGACCCGAAGGUCUGAGGUAAACUACUCACACAUUAUCGGAGAGGCUAUGGUGUUGAUGUAGAAGCCCUCCGUGAUCAAUGCCCCCUCCGGCAGGACGCCGGAAAAGGCCCCAAGAUGGAUCUCACGGGUACAGAAGGUUGCGGCGGUGGAAUUAGGUUUUCGUGGUCGCUUCUGAUGGUUUGGGGGUACGUAGGUAUAUAUAGGAGGAAGAAGUAGGUCGGUGGAGCCACGAGGGGCCCACGAGGAUGGAGGGCGCGCCUGGGGGGGUAGGCGCGCCUGGGGGGUAGGCGCGCCCCCCUACCUCGUGGCUUCCUCGUCUGUUGCUUGACGUCCACUCCAAGUCCUCUGGAUCACGUUUGUUCCAAAAAUCACGUUCCCGAAGGUUUCAUUCCGUUUGGACUCCGUUUGAUAUCCUUUUUCUGCGAAACACUGAAAUAGGCAAAAAAAUAACAAUUUGGGCUAGGCCUCCGGUUAAUAGGUUAGUCCCAAAAAUAAUAUAGAACUGUAUAAAUAAGCCCAUUAAACAUCCAAAACAGAAUAUAUAAUAGCAUGGAACAAUCAAAAAUUAUAGAUACGUUGGAGACGUAUCACAUCGUCCUCGACACCGGCGUCCACCAGCAGCGCGCGCUCCGCCGCCGGCUCCUUACGCAGAUGGGGGCACUCCCUCUUCAAGUGACCGCGCUCGCCGCACUUGUAGCAUCGCCCCGCGCCGCUUGUUCCGCCACCCGAUGCCGUGCUCGCCGCGCCGUCGUCGUCGUUGAAGCUGCCGCCACCCUGACGUCGUUGCCGCGCCUGCCGCUGUGCCGCCGUGUACAUCGGCUGGUCGUCCGCCCGCUCGCCGCUCGCUUGUCCAUGCAGUUGCAGCCUCUCCUCGAACGCCUUUAGCCACCCGAGAGCUUCCUCGAACGGCAUGGAGUUCAUGUCGCAGAACUGCUCCAUUCCGGUGACGGCGGCGUACAAGCGACCCGGGCCCGAGUCCAAGAGCUUCUUCACCAUCGUCGGAUCGUCCAGCAUCGACCCCAGCCCAGCAUAGUGAGCCGCCAUGCCGCUGAUCUUGCCAGCGAAGGCGCCAUCGUCUCGCCGCUCUGCAUCCGCAGCAGCUCGAAGUCACUACGCAGCGUGGCCAGCCGCGCCGCCCUCACGCGAUCGACUUCGACGAACCGCGCCUUGAGGCUGCUCCAGACCUCCGCCGCCGUCUUCAUGGAUGCGACCUGCACCAAGAGAUCCUCAGCGGGCGCGCCAAGCAGGUACGCCCACGCCGACUUGUCCUUCUUGGCGAUCACCGCCGCUGCCGCGUCCUCCACCGGCACCAUCGCUUCCCACAGCCCGGCCGCGUCCAGGUUGGCAUUCACCUUGAUCGCCCAUGUGGUGUAGUUAUCACUAGUGAGCAUCGGGACGGGCGUCGGUAGCGAGCUCCCCGACCUGCCGGCGUACGGCACGAUCGACAUCGUCGGUGAUCGCCUCCCGCAACCUGGCUCUGAUGCCAAUUGUUGGUGCAAAAACUCUAACCCUAGCAAGCCCUAGCUCCUCUAUAGCUCUCUCUCUCUCUCUCUCUCUCUCUCUAUCUAUCUAUCUAUCUCUAUCUCUCUCUCUCUGUGUGGCACGAACCGGGGAGGAAGAAGGAGGAAGACACGAUGAACAGGGAGCUUUUCCAGCACACGCAUGCCCGCCGCAACCACGGCGUUUCCUUGAGCACGAACUCAACACCUUCGUCGUUACAACGAUCGACGCCGCGAUCUUAUACCCGGGCCAGCGCUGGGCCACGACCCCCAUGCCUCUACCCACUACUUCGCCUGGUUCGGCCCGCUCUUCGCGCGCCCACGACCGCGCCUCCACGCACUCGCCGCGCCGAGCCCGCAACAAACCAACGCGAUCACCGCGUCCCGAUCGCCAACGGCUUCGCCCCACACACACGCGCGCGGUGUACACAUGCACAGACAUGCCCGCGCACCACACGUACGCACACACGCACACCUACGCCGCGGACCCGACACGCCCGACAUGCCUAGCGCGCGCCCAUACACGCGCUCGACGCGUCCGACUCGUCACCACGGCUUAUUAUGCCCAACACCCCGCACCCCAUGGCCCAUGUCGAGUCCCGCAGAUCCACCAGGUCCCUGCGCUCCCACUCGUGCGAUGCCUCUCGAUGGGGCACACCGUCCUCGAGCCCAGAUUCGCUUUCUUUCAGUGGUCCUUCUCUAGUGCCAGACUUGUAGCUGCAUCGACCAGCGUCAAUGACUUAUCUAGGCAAUCCGCCGCGUAUCCUGCUGCGGGGUGAGUGCUCCCACGCAACACCACCACUCCCCCGGCGGUACAAGCAGCGGCUCCACUCUUCGGGCAACAUAGACUAAAAUCCAUCAUAGUUAGGCCCUUCCCCGCGCCCUACCCCCUUCCACCUUGCGAUGAGGACGGAUGGACGACGGUCGAGUCCCGGAAGGCGCGCAAUGUAGGAAAGAAGGCAACGGUCCGUAACACAUGCCAGCGGCUGCGCCGGUCGGCCAAGGGUGCUGCCAUUAAUGGCCAUGACGAGCGCGCGGCCUUCUUAAGCCGCUUCGACGGCAUCUGCUUCCGCUGCCGCAGCACCGAGCACCGCCGGAUAAAUUGCAGAGACCCACUUAGAUGCAUCAUUUGCAAGCUGCCAGGACACUAUGGUAGAGAGUGAUGACCCAUAAGUAUAGGGGAUCUAUCGUAGUCCUUUCGAUAAGUAAGAGUGUCGAACCCAACGAGGAGCAGAAGGAAAUGACAAGUGGUUUUCAACAAGAUAUUCUCUGCAAGCACUGAAAUUAUCGGUAACAGAUAGAUUUGUGAUAAGGUAAAUCAUAACGGGUAACAAGUAAAUGAAGUAACUAAAGUGCAGCAAGGUGGCCCAAUCCUUUUUGUAGCAAAGGACAAGCCUCGACAAACUCUUAUAUAAAGCAAAGCGCUCCCGAGGACACAUGAGAAUUGUUGUCAAGCUAGUUUUCAUCAUGCUCCUAUGAUUCACGUUCGUUACUUUGAUAAUUUGAUAUGUGGAUGGACCGGUGCUUGUGCGUUGCCCUUCCUUGGACAAGCCUCCCACUUAUGAUUAACCCCUCUCGCAAGCAUCCACAACUAUGAAAGAAGAAUGAAGGUAAAACUAACCAUAGCAUGAAACAUAUGGAUCCAAAUCAGCUCCUUACGAAGCAACGCAUAAACUAGGGUUUAAGCUUCUGUCACUUGCAACCCAUCAUCUACUUAUUACUUUCCAAUGCCUUCUCCUAGGCCCAAAUAAUGGUGAAGUGUCAUGUAGUCGACGUUCACAUAACACCACUAGAGGAGAGACAACAUACAUCUCAUCGAAAUAUCGAACGAAUACCAAAUUCACAUGAUUACUUAUAACAGGACUUCUCCCAUGUCCUCACAAAGCAUAUUCAUAAUCAUAAUCAGAGUAUUAAUUAUUAUUAAGGAUAUGAAAUUAUAAUCUUCCACCGGAUAAACCAACUAGCAUCAACUAUAAGGAGUAAUCAACACUACUAGCAACCCCCAGGUACCAAUCUGAGGUUUUGGGACCAAGAUCGAAUACAAGAGAUGAACUAGGGUUUGAGAGGAGAUGGUGCCGGUGAAGAUGUUGAUGGAGAUUGACCCCCUCUCGAUGAGAGGAUCGUUGGUGAUGACAAUGGCGAUGAUUUCCCCCUCCUGGAGGCACAUCAAUUGUUUCUUAAGCCUGUGCGGUGCCCCCCUCCACCGUUUACUCCUUCGAUCAUAUUGUCGUAGUGCUUAGGCGAAGCCCUGCGCAGAUCACAUCACCAUCACCGUCACCACGCCGUCGUGCUGACGAAACUCUCCCUCGACACUUUGCUGGAUCAAGAGUUCGAGGGACGUCAUCGAGAUGAACGUGUGCAGAACUCGGAGGUGUCGUACGUUCGGUGCUUGAUCGGUUUAAUCGAGAAGACGUUCGACUACAUCAACCGCGUUAAGCUAACGCUUCCGCUUUCGGUCUACGAGGGUACGUGGACACACUCUUCCCCUCUCGUUGGUAUGCAUCUCCUAGAUAGAUCUUGCGUGAUCAUAGGAAUUUUUUUAAAAUUGCAUGCUACGUUCCCCAACAACUAGAAUCACCUUCAGUAGGGUUCUGGUACACAUGAACAACGCGUGCGCUCACAAGAUUGUGUGCGACUUAUGACUUUACUUUGCACAACUUGUAUGGUUGUGGCAAAUAUAAAAUCUAUUGAAGUUCUUCCCCGCGUGAUUUGAGCAGUAAUAGUUUGUGCUUGUAUAUAGCUAUUAACUACUCCCUCCGGUCCAUACUAAAGCAGCGACAAUUAAUAUGGAUCGGAUCGGAGGGACCAUCUUUUCCAAUGUCCAGAAUUGUAGUAUAACUUAUUUAAAGUUGAACAUUAAUGGUUUUCUUUUGUUUUGUAAGCAUCUUUUGUCAAACAUGACUACCCAUUUAAUAAUAAUAAUAAUAAUAAUAAUAAUUGUAAUAAUAUGAUUGUGUGCAUCGUAUACAGAGAUGUUGGUAGUUUUAUCCGCCUUUCCUAUGAAAGGAUGUUUGAAAAUUGUUUUCAUGCUCAGUGGCAAAAUGAUAGUACGGAAUAAUCAAACACAAUAUAAAAUAUCAAUCCUGGUACAUCAUACAAAAUUUCAUUAGAAAACUCAUACUAUAAUCUAAUACGAUAGACUACAAUUCCUUAGGAGCAUAUGUCCAUCAUCGUCUCGUCUUGGGAUGGUUGCAAUUCAAAGAUGUGAGGCGAGAGCAGAGUGGGACGGUAACCCCGAUGGAUGAUCCAUAUCCAUUCAUAUGACGGUAUCUGUUGGAGCUGCUUGUCCCACUGCAACAGUCGACCGUGGUCAGGAACGGACGACCUCGUGUCAUACUUGUACAGGGUGUCGUUGCACGUGUAGAAGAGCGUCUCAUGUUGAAACCAUGCACUCCAUGGCAUGCGGAUCCAUGGUCUUUGGAUGGGGAUGGGAGGUUCUACUUGCACGAGGAAGCUGUAGGAGUAAAUUGCACAAAACCACCACUUUGAAGGCUUGGUUUGCAUAAAACACUACGUUACAUUCUUUUGGCAGAAAACACCACCUCUACGGUAAUCUUUUUGCAAAAACACUGAUCGGUGGAUUGGAGUGUUUUAAGUAUGUUUAUAACAGGUGGGUCCAGAUUUUGUCGACGUGGCGUAAUGGCUCUGCCAAAACGGCGUCAAACCGGACAUGGCCCCACCUGUCAGCUGGAUCUUCUUCUCCAAUUCUCCUCUGUUUCUCUCACUGAAAAAGGCAACUCCCUGUCUCGAUCCCCUUUCCCAUGGUGGAACCCAGGCGUGCAGCCACCCAAGCCGAUCCCGACCGCCGUCACACAGCCAGACUGCGUGGCCGACGAGCCCAGUGGCCCCUCCAGUUUCUCUCCCCUCCCUCUACUCCUACCGGUCGCCUGGAUUGACCUUGUGUCGCAGUCGCGCAACGAACAAGCGGCAUGGACGCCGCCGAGCUUCUCUGCCCUCCCUCUACGCAACGAACGAGUGCCAUGGACGCCGUCGCUUCGCCGGCGAGCCCAGACUGCCCUCUGACUGCUCUCCCCUCCCUCUAAUCGUCCUGCUCACCCGGAUGGGCCCAGAGUCGCAGCCGCCUGAAACGAGCGCCAAGGAAGUCGCCGCCUCGCCAGAGCGGCUACGCCGCCCGCGACGACCAUCUCUGCCCACAAAAAAGAGCUCGUCGCCGUCCAUGCUGCCCUCGACCUGGGACGCCGUCACCUCGCCGGCUUGGCCACACCACCCGCGACGACCGACGACCAUCUCUGUCCGUGAAGAAGAGCUCCACGGCUGCGGCGGCCACGCCGCCCACGACGACCAACUCUGCCCUCCGAGCAGAGCUCUUCGUUUAGGCCUCGUCGCCGGCGCGGCCACGCCGCCCGCAAAGAAGAGCUCGUUCAUGGAGCUGAUUGCUUUUCUGAUUUUGAUGUAAGGGCCUCCUUGUAAAAUCCCUCAUCUAACGCUGUUUUGGCAGAGCCGUUACGCCACGUCGGCAAAAUCUGGACCCACUUAUCAUAAACGUACUUAAAACGUUCUAAUCCGCCGAUCAGUGGUUUUUGCAAAAAGAUUACCGUAGAGGUGAUGUUUUCUGCCAAAAAAAUGUAGCGUAGUGUUUUCUGCAAACUUAGUCUUCAAAGUGAUGGUUUUGUGCAAUUUACUCAAGCUUAGCGCAACUCCCAGUGUGGCUCCUUCUCGCCGUCCGAUUCCUUGUUCUCCAUGGCCAUGACCCAGAAGUGGAGGGCCUUGGGGCGAUUGCAGCUGUUGAGCACGUGUGCGGCGAGGCACAGCCGCCCCUUCAGCUCAAAGGCCAGCAGAUUAUCAUAUCGAUAGGUCCCGAGACCGUCCGGGAGAGGGUAGGCGCGGCACGUCUCGGCAGGCACGUCCACUACCAGCACUCCGGCAGCCUCCUGCCAUAUGGGUGCAUUCCAGCCUUUAGUGACCACGUGAAGUUUACCAUCGAUCAGCACUGGCGUCGAAGUGUCAUUUCCUCUGGUUAGUGGGCGAGAGGGUGAGAGGAACGGGUCUCUGCGCCACCCGCGGGCGUCACCCAAGGUGUAGACGUCCACGUCCACCCGCUCUUCGGAGGAGUAGGAGCAUAGCGGGAAAGAGAGGCGGAAGAGCUUGUACUCGUUGGUGGGCGGACUGAACCCAAAGGCAAAUAAAUACGCAUGGUCCUUGUUGCUGAGCGGAGGGGCCGCCGGAAGCGCCAGCGUCUCGCCAGUGGCGGGGUUGCACACCACCGCCGGCGCCUCGACGGCGCGGUCCUCAAGCACGAAGCAGAGGAGGCCGUUGCAGAUGUCGGCGAGGCCGUAGCCUUCGGGCUUGGCGAUGCAGCACAUGGGUUUGUCCGACGAUAACCUGAAGACACUGGUCUUGACGCUCUGGCCGAGCCCGCAUGGCACACCGGAUAAGCGCAAGAACUCGGGCUCUGCCGAAAGCGCGGCAGGGCUGGCCGCGUGGAGCUUGCGGAAUGUGGGGUCUCCGAGGGCGCUGCGCCAGUGCCUGGAGACGCAGCAGGAGCGGGCCACGUCCUUGGUCGGCAGCUUCAUCAGGAUUUCUUGUAGCAUCUCGUUAGGGAUUUCCUCAGCCUCACUGCGACGACGACGUCCCAUUGUGCCAUAGACAUCGACGUCCCAAGGCAAAGAGAUGCGCAUCCUACUCGAUCUGCCGGCAACUCGCUCGAAAUCGACCGAUUGUGGGUUGGGACCGUCGACUUGGUAUUUAUAGAGGGCACCACCCAACGAGUUGCCGAGUUUGAGUCGAAGCAGGUCAUUGUGUUUGUAUUAGGAUCCAUCCAUAUACCCGAGCCUAAACAUGCACGACUCCGUCACUGCCUGCGCGAGCUCCGUCGUCAAAAAUGCAUGCAACCGAUUGGGUGCUCCGUUCAGGAAGCACAGACCAAGCUUCCUUUCCUUACUAACCACGAAACGGAAACGAUGAAUGAAUCGCCAAAAAUGCUACACCUACCUAACUCUUUUACGUACGCUACGGAAUCUUCGAUCGCCAGAUGUAGCAUUGCUCAUGAAUCGCCAGAUCGUCAUCCGUUCCUCUCCUCUCUGCUGCCCCUCUCUCCGGACGUCCAGUCAUAAUACAAAUAUUUUCUUCUUCUUCUUUUGAGCAUCACGUACGCACGCAAAGAAAUACUGCUAGCUGCUAGCUAGUGCAAGUACGCACGACUUUUUCUUCUUCUUUUGAGCAUCACGUACACUGCUAGCCAGCCUGCUUCAGACGCACAUGCAAUGCAUGCAUGCGUGGGUGACUACCAAUUGGCUACACACGCAAGUACGUACCUGCGUGCAUGCGGCGAUGCACGUAAACUUACGUGAGGUUUUUACGUAAAGGUUAAUGUGGAGGUAGUUAAUUGGAUGAAGAUUAAUGACUGGGGCUCACCCCACUUGAAAUCAGAGGGGGAGAGGAUUAUAGUUAGAAAGAUUACAUUACUUUACGUAGGCUGUUCGUAGAUGGAGCAUUAUCGGCGUGCAUGCACUCCAUUUUGUUAGCUACAUCUAACAUGCAUGCUUGCCCAAGUGAUCAAUGGUCUCUCUCUCUGUGGCACGAACCGGGGAGGAAGAAGGAGGAAGACACGAUGAACAGGGAGCUUUUCCAGCGCACGAACGCCCGCCACAACCACGGCGUUUCCUUGAGCACGAACUCAACACCUUCGCCAUUACAACGAUCGAUGCCGCGAUCUGGGCCAUGACCCCCACGCCUCUACCCACUGCUGCGCCUGGUUCGGCCCGCUCCGCGCGCGCACUCACCGCGCCGAGCCCGCAACGAACCAACGCGAUCACCGCGUCCCGAUCGCCAACGGCUUCGCCCCACACACACGCGCGCGGUGUACACAUGCACGGACACGUCCGCGCACCACACGUACGCACACACGCACACCUACGCCGCGGACCCGACCUGCCCGACACGCCUAGCGUGCGCCCAUACACGCGCUCGACACGUCCGACUCGUCGCCACGGCUUAUUAUGCCCAACACCCCGCACCCCAUGGGCCAUGUCGAGUCCCACAGAUCCACCAGGUCCCCGCGCUCCCACUCGUGCGACGCCUCUCGAUGGGGCACGCCGUCCUCGAGCCCAGAUCCGCUUUCUUUCAGCGGUCCUUCUCUGGUGCCGGACUUGCAGCUGCAUCGACCGGCGUCAACGACUUAUCUAGGCAAUCCGCAGUGUAUCCUGCUGCGGGGUGAGUGCUCCCACGCAACACCACCACUCCCCCAGCGGCACAAGCAGCGGCUCCACUCUUCGGGCAACAUAGACUAAAAUCCAUCGUAGUUAGGCCCUUCCCCGCGCCCUACCCCCUUCCUCCUUGUGAUGAGGACGGAUGGACGGCGGUCGAGUCCCGGAAGGCGCGCAAUGUAGAAAAGAAGAUAACGGUCCGUAACACAUGCCAGCGGCCGCGCCGGUCGGCCAAGGGCGCUGCCAUUAAUGGCCAUGACGAGCGCGCGGCCUUCUUAAGCCGCUUCGACGGCAUCUGCUUUCGCUGCCUGCACCGAGCACCGCCGGAUAGAUUGCAGAGACCCACUUAGAUGCAUCAUUUGCAAGCUGCCAGGACACUAUGGUAGAGAGUAAUGACCCACAAGUAUAGGGGAUCUAUCAUAGUCCUUUCGAUAAGUAAGAGUGUCGAACCCAACGAGGAGCAGAAGGAAAUGAUAAGUGGUUUUCAGCAAGGUAUUCUCUGCAAACACUGAAAUUAUCGGUAACCGAUAGUUUUGUCAUAAGAUAUUUCGUAACGGGUAACAAGUAAAUGAUGUAACUAAAGUGCAGCAAGGUGGCCCAAUCCUUUUUGUAGCAAAGGACAAGAUUGGACAAACUCUUAUAUAAUGCAAAGCACUCCCGAGGACACAUGUGAAUUGUUGUCAAGCUAGUUUUCAUCAUGCUCAUAUGAUUCACGUUCGUUACUUUGAUAAUUUGAUAUGUGGGUGGGCUGGUGCUUGGGCGUUGCCCUUCCUUGGACAAGCCUCCCACUUAUGAUUAACCCUUCUCGCAAGCAUCCGCAACUACGAAAGAAGAAUUAAGGUAAACCUAGCCAUAGCAUGAAACAUAUCGAUCCAAAUCAGCCCCUUACGAAGCAACGCAUAAACUAGGGUUUAAACUUCUGUCACUCUAGCAACCCAUCAUUUACUUAUUACUACUUCCCAAUGCCUUCCCCCAGGCCCAAAUAAUAGUGAAGUGUCAUGUAGUCAACGUUCACAUAACACCACUAGAGGAGAGAGAACAUACAUCUCAUCAAAAUAAUGAACGAAUACCAAAUUCACAUGAUUACUUAUAACAAGACUUCUCCCAUGUCCUCAGGAACAAACGUAACUACUCACAAAGCAUAUUUAUAAUCAUAACCAGAGGAGUAUUAUUUAUCAUUAAGGAUCUGAAAUUAUAAUCUUCCACCGGAUAAACCAACUAGCAUCAACUACAAGGAGUAAUCAACACUACUAGCAACCCCCAGGUACCAAUAUGAGGUUUUGGGACCAAGAUCGAAUACAAGAGACGGGCUAGGGUUUGAGAGUAGAUGGUACUGGUGAAGAUGUUGAUGGAGAUUGACCCCCUCUCGAUGAGAGGAUCGUUGGUGAUGACGAUGGCGACGAUUUCCCCCUCCCGGAGGGAUGUUUCCCUGGCAGAACAGCUCCGUCGGAGCCCUAAAUUGGUUCUGCCCAGGUUCCGCCUCGAGACGGUGGCGCUUCGUCCCGAAAGCUUCCUUCUGAUUUUUUCCAGGUCAAAACACACCAUAUAGCCAAAGAUGGGCGCCGGGGGCCUGCCAGGGGGCCCACAAGGUCGGGGGGCGCGCCCAGGGGGGUAGGGCGCGCCCUCCACCCUUGUGGCUGGCUGGUGGCCCCCCUCUGGUUCUUUCUUCGCACAAUAUUCUUUAUAUAUUCCAAAAACAUGCUCCGUGAAGUUUCAGGACUUUUAGAGUUGCACAGAAUAGGUCUCUAAUAUUUGCUCAUUUUCCAGUCCAGAAUUCUAGCUGCCGGCAUUCUCCCUCUUCAUGUAAACCUUAUAAAAUAAGAGAGAAAAGGCAUAAGUAUUGUGAUAUAAUGUAUAAUUAACAACCCAUAAUGCAAUAAAUAUCAAUAUAAGUGCAUGAUGCAAAAUGGACGUAUCAGAGAGUGCCCUCAAAAUCCAAAGAAGAUAGCAAGAUGGAACAGCGGCAAGGAGAGGCCAUGGUCACCGCGCAACCCGGGGGGGGGGUGCGGACGAGGCUCCGCUUCCCCACCCCACCGCCGCCACCAGUGGCUCCUGCUCCGGCCAUGGACCGCGCAGCGACCACGUUGACCCAUCUCGCCGGGCAAGGGCAAGCCACAAGGUGGUGUUCUCCACCCCCGACCAUGGAGCACCAAGAGUUCCUGCUCCGCAAGCACGUCGUUCUCCUUACGGCGGCGGUGCCGAGGCACGCGGCCAACCCGAUGUCCAUCGGACGCGCCAUCGAAGAGUUCCUUGGAUCAACAAGACUGCGCUAGAAAAGAAGAAAACCUCCACAAACUAUCAUUGUGAAGAAAUAAGAAUAUUACCUACCUUGUAGGGGAAACAACACACCACACGAGCCUAACAAAGAUUCAAUUCGCAAAAACCCACUUUAACUCGCUCAUCGGUGGAAAAGUAUACACUACUAGCUGCUAGGACUUAUUUAAUGAAAGAGGUUGCAGCCAUCUCAACUCCCUCCCCUAGACACCAAAAUCUAGCGAUAUACACCAUCCAAACCAGAUCAAAACUCCCACACAUUGUCCAGGACGGCAUGAAGAAUGAGGUAGAACAUCGACCCGGCCGGCGGUAAUGAUGGAACCAAAACCCUAACCUUCACAUGAUUGCCUCACAACAACACUCUCAGCCUGUUCAAUUUGUUUCCAUGGUAUUUGUUGUUUUUCUACUAUAUACCUAAAGAAGGAAUGGCAUUCAUUUUCNNNNNNNNNNNNNNNNNNNNNNNNNNNNNNNNNNNNNNNNNNNNNNNNNNNNNNNNNNNNNNNNNNNNNNNNNNNNNNNNNNNNNNNNNNNNNNNNNNNNNNNNNNNNNNNNNNNNNNNNNNNNNNNNNNNNNNNNNNNNNNNNNNNNNNNNNNNNNNNNNNNNNNNNNNNNNNNNNNNNNNNNNNNNNNNNNNNNNNNNNNNNNNNNNNNNNNNNNNNNNNNNNNNNNNNNNNNNNNNNNNNNNNNNNNNNNNNNNNNNNNNNNNNNNNNNNNNNNNNNNNNNNNNNNNNNNNNNNNNNNNNNNNNNNNNNGUUUUGAUUCAUUUCCUCAUAUCUCUAAAAAAAUCAUCCUUUUUCUUUUGAAAAUCGUCUUAACCAUCCCACCUUUCAUUGGUGGCAGGUGGCUGCGGCGGCCUCAUACCCGGCAGGCGUCCUGGUUGAGGAGUGCGCCGGACUGGUAGGUGCCCCAUACCCGGCAGGCGUCCUGGUUGGGACCUCAGGUCUUAGAUGUUUAGGUUUGGCUGCGAUGUCUGUUUGGUAUUAGGCCCAGACUAUCUACGCCCCUUCAUCAAUUGGAUAGGUGUAGCAACAGUUGUUGCUUAGAUGGUGGCUUUAGUCUUGCUAUUGUUUGGCUUUGUAAGGUCUUGUGAGAAUAAUUAAUAAAGUGGCCGUAUGCAUCGCCCAGAUGCAGAGGCCGGGGGUCAUCCUCUUUUUCUAAAAAAAAAUCCCACCUUUCAUUGACUUAUCAAAUAAAAUUAUGUUCUAUGUGGUAAACCAAUAUGUUCUUACAAAACAAGCGAUUUUUACUUAGGUAGUUAAAUCACGGGCAUAAUUUUAUAAACAUUUAUUACAAGUAAUUAUCUAGUCUAACAAAAAUGGGAGCAACUAAUUAAGGCGUACUCUUGGAGGGCUCCCGUAAAGGUCACUUUCUUGGUCCUCGUGCUGAACGCACCAUCGGGAAUUCAAAUUUUUUUUCUACAUGUGUUUUCAGGUUUUAUGUGAGUUUACUGUGUGUGGGGGUUCACUUCUUUGUUUUUGCUUGGCUUUCCUGUAGUCUUGAACUGUGCUUCCCGAAAUCCAACGGUGAAAACAAUUUUUUGGGGAACCAGUUUUUCAUUUUUCAUUUUUUUUCUAGUUUACUUUUUUCGGUUCUCGUUUUUACCCGGGGAGGGGGGUGUUAUGAUUUUUUUCAUCGAAAACUAACGUGAGAUCUGGUUGAUCUCGACGCGAGAAAUCCAACGGUGAAAACGAUUUGUGAUUAUGAUUUUUUUAUCGAAAACUAUGAACGUGAGAUCUAGUUGAUCUCGACGCGAGAAAUUCAAUGAUGAAAACGGUUUGUGAUUUGGAUGCCUCGACAGAGAAGCAUGAUGAACAACCUUACUCAAACCAGCCCAUUAAGGCACCAAAUUUCACAACUUAGAAAUGAUGCUCGGCUUAUGUUGGGCCGUCUCAUGAGAGUUUUUGUUUUUUUCGUAGAUUCAUUUGUUUUUCAAAACGAUUUAUCUUGAAUCAUGUGUUCAAAUACCGAACCAUUUUCACUGUUGGAUUUCGCGUGUCGAGAUCUUUAAAACUAAAUCUCAUGUUAAUUAGUUUUGAUAAACUUUUUUUUCAUGAAAAAGCCUGAAGAAAAAACCCAGAGCUAGAAGCAUGAUUUUUUCCUACUUUUAUUCCCUUUGAGAGAAGCACAUAUCAGUGCCUCCACGAGAUGCAAAUCUGUGCUUCUCAUGGGAGCACAAAAAACAUGCAAAAACAUGAUUUUUUUUUCUUUCUAAAGUAGCGCGGAAGCAAAUCUGUACCUUUACGAGAAGCAAAUAUGUGUUUCUCGUGAAAGCCAUUUCCCCCGGAAAUAAAUCUGUGGCUCCACAAGAGGCAAAUAUGUGCUUCUCGUGAUAAUACCCUUUUCGAUAAGCAUAAUUGUGCUUCUCACGGAAGCAAAAUCUGUGCUUCUCGUCGAAGAAAAAAAAUACACAAAAAAAUUCAUGAUUUUUUCCCUUUCUGACAAGCACAACUGUGGUUCUUGCGGAAGCAAAUCUGUGUCUCCACGAAAAGCAAAUAUAUGCUUCUCAUGAAAGCACAUUUUUUCGCGCAAAAAUAAAUUUUCGUGUAUUUUUUUCUUCAAAAUCUAAGAUAAACCAGACGUAAAUCGAAAAACCAAAACAUCCAGAAUAAAGCCCAUAUAAAAUCUGAAAACGUGUACAGAAAAAUAAAACCAACGCCCAGCAAAAGAGGCCCUUGGCGCUCUCAGCCCACAAAAAUUACACGCAAUGGUACCUUUAGCCCCUUUUGCUCUCUUGAUUUUGCUCUUGGAAGGAUUCCUGCCUUUUCCACUUCGGCAGAUUCCGCCUUCAAAUCUCCGCACAUCUCACUUGCAAGGUCCACGAGAUUCUGCCCGCCUCCUCCAUCAGAUCCCUCUCCGCACCGGAUUCCUGCGUCUCCUCGUCCGGGCCUUCUUUCAGUUCCGUGGUUCCUCUUGCUUUCUGCGGUAACUUCUACUGCCGAAUCUUGCUUGACUGUACCAACCAGCUUGCUUGAAUCAUCAAUCAGUUCGCUAGUUAUAUGAUUGCUGGUGUUUCCUUGAAUAGCAAGUUAAAUUAGCGUACUAGUAGUAGAUAUGGUUCUCUAUUUAUUUUUUUCAUUUCUUCUUUUCCCCCUUCAGCCCGCCAGUACAACCAAGAAAUGUGAGCCGUGAAUCACUAAACUAGAGCCACUUUUAUUUUAAUUUAUGUAGUUAUGUACGUUUUAUAUUGUAUGAAAUUCAUUCUGAUGGGAUGAUCUACAUACUGCAAUAUAUUGAAGCACUGAACUGGUGUGUAUCAGUAUCAGUGUAUGACUGAACAGGACAAGGUACAUGAUUCAUGUUGUUGAUACUUGUUAGGCCUGAUGGGAAGCAGAGAUGACGAUGGCCAAAAUGCAGAAGGUCAGGGUUACGCCGCGGACAUCAAUUCCAUCAGGGAGGCGCAGGCACGCAUCGCGCCAUACGUGCACAAGACACCCAUCCUGUCAUCAACUUCUAUCAAUGCCAUAGCAGGGAAGCAGUUGUUCUUCAAGUGUGAAUGCUUCCAGAAGGCGUGAGAGUUACUGCCUCGUGUGCCAUUUACCUAUUCGAUGCUUUGCAGUACAUGGUGCUAAUUGUUGUGGACAUAUGUUGUAUUGUGUUGUGUAGAGGGGCGUUCAAGAUCCGAGGGGCAUCCAAUUCAAUAUUUGCCCUUGAUGACAUUCAGGCAGCAAAGGGCGUUGUGACGCAUAGCAGGUUGGUGCUAGCUUCAGUGUAUUGUGUGCUUGUUCCCAACAUUCAGAAGAAAAUUAAGAUACUGAUGAUAUGGUUUCUUCUCAGUGGAAAUCAUGCUGCUGCUGUGGCACUGGCUGCAAAGUUGCGUGGCAUACCUGCUUACAUUGUCAUACCCGAAAACGCGCCAGCAUGUAAGGUUGAGAAUGUUAACCGUUAUGGUGGUCAGGUUAUCUGGAGCGAUGUCACCAUGGAAUCAAGAGAAUCUACAGCUAAAAAGGUCCAGGAAGAGACUGGUGCUAUUCUUAUUCAUCCAUUCAAUGAUAAGUACACCAUCAGGUAGUCUUUUGCCAUCCAAAGCUUUUAUUGUUGAAUUGUUCUGUAUAAUGUGACAAAUAUCCCCAUUACCCCAGAAUUAGAAAUGCUUCCUAUAGAGUGCUGACAGUUUCCCUAAGCUAGAUGAUAAUUUUUUCAAAGGUACCAUAGACAUCGCUUCUAGUAACAAUUUGUAUUUCGGUACUCCUGAAGUAGCCUGGUGACUAGGCUACUGUUUAGAUGCGAAAAAAUAGCUGGAAUUUCAAAUUAAAAGUAUGUAGAAAUUUGAUCACUUGCUUACUCAGCAUUGAUGAACUGUUCUUCCAGUGAAAUGAUCACCAAGAGUAAAUGGAAUUACUUGAUACUAGCCCUGGCAACACCAUCUAAAAUUUAGGAUUUCAUGAAUUUAACUCGUUUUCCGACAACAGAACCUUCGGAAUGUUUUAUUGUUUUCUGUAGGACCAUUUUGGACUACAGGAAUACAACCCAUUAUUUCCACACAAAAAACUUGAUAUGUUUUAUGCACCAUAUAUAGUCAAAAUCUCCUAGUUUCUUCUGCACUCUGUGUUUGCUCUUAGUGCAUAGAGUAACUUGAGUUUUCAUUCCCUUUGAAUUUUCCCGUGAAAUAUAGGAAUUUAUUUGAAUGUUUUUCAGUGGUCAGGGUACAGUAUGCCUUGAACUUUUGGAGCAAGUCCCUGAGAUCGACACAAUAAUUGUUCCAAUUAGUGGUCUGCACUCUCUCAACUUCUCCCUAUCGUAAAUAGUUUUUUUUUCUGCGAGUAAGUCUUUUCUAAUUUGACACUGACAUAUAUUUUGGCUAAACUACAGGUGGUGGUUUAAUUUCGGGUGUGGCAUUGGCUGCAAAGGCCAUCAACCCUUCAAUACGUGUUCUGGCAGCAGAGCCGAAGGGUGCUGAUGAUUCAGCCCAGUCCAAGGCUGCUGGAAGGAUCAUCAAACUGCCUGCAACCAACACCAUUGCUGAUGGACUACGAGCGUUUCUCGGUGACUUGACAUGGUGAGGCAAAUAUACAUUGAUUAUGUUUCCAUCAUUUUCUGCACGUGCAUUACUAACCUGGAAUCAUACUAAAACGCUGACCUUUAGUUUUUGGAUUUUUCAUGAGAAUGUCAAUGCUAGCUAGAUAGUUUAUUUUGCCAAAAUUUAUCUUGAUGUGAACGCCCUGGAAUGAUCUGUGAUGUUAAUGCUACUUAUUCCGUUGUGAUAAAAAUGGUUGCUAGUGGACAGAAGAAUGCUACAUGUUUUUAAAUUUAAUCUUUAUGUUCUAGGCCGGUGGUGCGUGACUUGGUGGACGAUGUCAUCGUCGUGGAUGACAACGCCAUUGUCGACGCCAUGAAGAUGUGCUAUGAGACGCUGAAGGUGGCUGUGGAGCCUAGCGGAGCCAUUGGCCUUGCCGCUGCCCUCUCUGACGAGUUCAAGGAAAGCUCCGUUUGGCAUGAGAGCAGCAAGAUAGGGAUCAUUGUUUCCGGUGGCAAUGUGGACCUCCGCGUGCUCUGGGAAUCCCUGUGUAAAUGAGAUUGGGGCUGUGCAGAACUGUUUGAAUUUGAAAUGCACGAGGUGAAUGGCUGCAGACUUGAAAAGACACUGAUUUCUUACACGGAACAGUCUAUGUUUGCUGAUCUACUCGCUGCAAAACGUUUUGCCAUUGACUUCUUUUUUGGACCAUUUGCCAUUGACUUCCUACAGCGCCUUAGUCUGGAAGCGGCAUAUCUCCUGAUUUUAUAUAGACAAUAAUAACUGCUGCCUUUGUCUUUUUCGUUCCUAUUUCUCUUUCACCCACUGACAAGCAUGACCCACAUGUCAUAGGCGCGAGACAGAUUUUUUUUUUUGAUUUGUCAUUUUUUCUCUACGCUGAUAAGUGGGACCCACAUGCGACAUGUAGGCAAAUUAGACGGCUACACACGGGAAUAUGCGCUGCCUAAGCAGAGUUUGAUGGCGAAAAUUGUACCAUGUUGCACUUAAAAAAAGAGCAUCAACCGGGCGGCUCAAACCCUCCUUAAACGGCGGACGGACAAGACGGUCACUGACCGGUCAAAAAUAGCCGACUCAGACGAGCACCUCAAGCGCCCGAGCUCACCAACACCCCUCAUAUCCAGCCCAAAUCUGAGACGGAUAUGGGGAGGCCCGGACGCAACCGGGCGUGUCCGUCAUGUCGGAUCCGGCCCAUGCUGGCCCACCUAACACCCAAUAUAUUCGUCAUCAUCCGCUUGCCGAACUAAACCCUAGCCAGUCCACUCCACGCCACCCAGUCCCGAAGCUCCCGUCCGGCGAUCUCCGGCAUGACGGGCAGCGGAACUGACUUCGACAACCCCAGGCCCAUUGAUUGUGGUGUCAUCCAUGCGUGGUGGAGGAGGCUAUGGUCGUUCGUAUUGCCCUCCGCCGCUCCCGAAGGACUACGCCCGGCUCGAUGACGGGAUUUGUCCAGUAGGAGGGUUCUGCUCCGUUUUUAGCUAUGGUUUUUGAGGUCGACUAGGGUAUGUGUCCUUCUGAGGAAGGCGAUGUGGCGAUGGCUCCUUGAAGAUGAAAUAAGAUCCUUCCCGCCAAGCCCAUCCCAGCGGCGCGUCUACCAUCGUCGGAGGGCGCGUGGAGGUGUGUUUGUUGCGAAUCUCAUGGGAUUUGGUUGGUGUUGGUCGUUAAUGGAACUUGGUGGAUCCAGUCUUCGUUCGUAUGUCUACAGUUUGUAUCCUUUCAAUCUACACUUCUUUUCAUUGGCACGGUUGCUGUUUUGAUGCGUUGGUUCUAUGGGGCCUUAGUAGACGACUUCCCGACUGUGUACUACGACAAGUUUUGGUUGGCUCCGGUGAGAGAGGGGCAAUUAUGAUGGCGCAUCUUCAACUCGGUCCAGUGUUUAUAGUUGUUGAUAGAUGGUCUAUGAACUUGGAUGCAUUUUUUUCAUGUUCCUUGUACUGCCGUGACAGUUAUAAUACUUCCGUUCACAAAUAUAAGAUGUUCUAACUCUUUUUGUAUCGGAUGUAUACAUACGCGUUUUAGUGGGUUUGUUCACUCAUUUCAGUCCAUAUAUAGUUCAUAUUGUUGUUUCUCUUUUCAGUGGCUGGAAACAGUAAUUGCACAAAAAAAAAGGAAACAGUAAUUCUGGUCCAGCGGUGCAUCAGAAAUUCAGAUUUCAGAACCCAUCUCCGCGUGAACACGAAUCUUGAAGCACUCGGAACAAACCCCUUGCCACCCGAGGCAGUCGUCCGUUCUCCGUCCCACGUCCCUCUUCCUCCUUCCCCCCGCCGCCGCCGCCGCCGCAAAGAGAAGCGCGAGAGAGUGGGGCGGCCGUAGCAAGCGAUGCCGAACAAGCGUCAGCGGGAGGCGCGGAAGCGCUUCCGCGAGGCGAACCCCGGCCUCUGUCCGCCCGCGCCCGCCCCUCCGGCCGACGGCACCAAGAAGAAGAAGAGCAAGAAGAGCUUGUUCAAGAAGGUGAAGAAGGCGGGAGCCGGCGGCGGAGUAGGAGGAGCGGGGAGGUCGAAGCACCCGCUGCGGGUUCCCGGGAUGCGGCCCGGGGAGCAGUGCUUCAUCUGCAAGGGCACCGACCACGCGGCCAAGAACUGCCCCGAGAAGUCCUAUUGGGACAAGAACAAGGUACCAGCCCACCAUUGCACGGCUAAAAUUGCUCUGCGUAGAAGCUUGUGGUGAUAAUGUUGUUCGGCAUGCUGUCAAUUGCUACUUGCUGUAGAUUCCAUGGACCCAAUAGCAUUGGAUGAUGUAGCUCCUGUGGAAUGGGUUUAUAGCAGAUUAGUGCUAGUUGGUGGUUGUAGUGGAAAUACAGCGACAAAAGUGAUGUUGAUUUUCCUUUAGCCUGCCUUUGCUUGGUGAGAUUGUCACUAGGCGGGCUAGGAAUGCGCUUGUUUUGUGUUAGCUAGUAUUUAUGACUACCAUAGAAACUCACAAGUCACAACAUACAACAUCACAACACUUAACCUGAGAACAAACGUUCAUCACUGAUUAUAUGAAGAGCUAGCAGUUACUUGCAGUCAUAUGAAUGCUUGUUAUUACAGAAAAAUGUUUGAUAUUGCUAAAUUAUGUUUCAUCAUGAACUCAUGAUCCAUUACAAUAGUUGGUUUAAUGUCUGAUUUCACCAUAUGCAAGGUUUCCAUUUCACUAUCUCUUAACAAUUGUAUUAUUUUUCUGUUAUUUUCAGAUUUGCUUGCUCUGCAGGGAGCGAGGGCAUAGUAUGAAGAACUGCCCUGACAAAGGUGAUGGGGAUCUGAAGAAAUUCUGCUAUAACUGUGGUGAAUCUGGGCAUUCCCUUUCCAAGUGCCCGAAGCCCAUUGAAAAUGGUACUCUUCAUCCAUUCAUGUUAUGCUUAGAUUCCUAUAGAUGUGAUUUCUUCAUGUGCUUAACAUUAUUCGAUACGUAUGCAGGCGGCACAAACUUUGCGAGCUGCUUUGUCUGCAAACAGCAGGGACAUUUGAGCAAGGAUUGCCCUGAAAAUACACACGGCAUUUAUCCCAAGGUAUUCCACAGGAUUCCUUGUUCCCUCUCAUGAAUCACGACACAACUACUACUACCGAUAUAAGGCAUUGAAAUCGAAGGACUAUUUUCAUUUUUUAUUUAGACUUUCUUGCAGACAAACAUGUCAUGCUGGCAAAAAAUGAUUUUGGCUUGCCGUAGUUACCUACUUACUAGUUAUGAUGUUUGAAUUGCUUGUGUCUUGAGGAACCCAAAGAAUAUCCACUGUUUUUUUUCCUUUGGGAUAGUGAGGCAUCGUGCAAACAAAUGGAUAUAUGAUCUUUGAGUGGUAUAACCACCACUUGAUAAACUAUAAGUAUCUGUUUCAAGGGGUUUUACGUUUUUUCUGUAUGAGUCCUGAGGUACAGAACCAGUUUGCUGGUGGAGCCAGCCUUGUUUAUAGCUUUGACUUUCUGUUGUUACUUUUGUUGUUGUUAACACUCCUCUACCUUGAUUACGUUUAGUUGAUUCAAUCUCUGCUUUUUUGUACAUGGAUUUUAACUCUAUGUAUUAAUGUUAGGGUGGUUGCUGUAAGAUAUGUGGUGAAGUUACACACUUGGCAAGGCAUUGCCCGAACAAACGGCAACAGUACUUCGAAUCCUCGGUGGAUGAUGGUAAACAAAUUGGAACUUCUUCCUUGACAAACCAACCUUUGCAAUAUCACAACUACCAUGCAUGCAUUCGCAACAUUUUGAACGUCCGCUGGAAUGCGAAGUGUGUUGCAGUUGGUCUAUAUAUAUUUGAAUUACCUGUUGCCAUCAUUUAAAGUUUCACACCAAAAAAAAACAUCUGGACAAUAAUUCUUGUAUAUAAGCAUGCUGGCUAAACUUAUGAUUUCAGGUUAUACAACUAUUUUGUUUCUGAAGAUUUGUUUGUGUUGUUGUAUAACAUAGUUGGCUGUGCCAACAAUAGAGAUAUAUCUGUAGGCCGCGGUGUUGUAUUGUGGUGCAGAGGCUUUGGAUAGGUGAACAUGUUCCCUUUUCAGUCCUUAGUAAGGGUUGAGUAAUGACUAACUGUACGGGCGCGGUACCUUACUCUUGACAAAAUCUAAUGUAUUUAUAUAUGUUGAGAACUUGAGAUUGUUAGUUAGCUGGUGCAACUGAAUUUCUGCUGGUAGUUGUGCAGUUCAUCACAGGAAUUCGUGUUUACUUGUUUAUUUGUCGCUGUGUUUACUUUAGGUAUGAAUAUGGAGGGAGACUACCAGGAAGACCAUACUCUGCAUGGUGGAGACGAUCUUGAAGAUGAUUUCAUUGAUGAAGAAGAGGUGAAAACCACCAAAACAAUUAAAGCAAAGCAACCUAGCAGCGGCGAGAAGAGUACCAGCUCAAAGUCAAAAGGAAAACAAGCUCCAAAAGUUGUAAAAUUCUUUGGUUAAACAAUGCCGCCAUUUUUGUAGUGUACGUCGAGAAUGAUCAUCUUCCUGGACAAUUCUUUUUGGAGGAAUCCCAGCUGUGUAACUUACAAUGCAAUGAGAAUGUAUCUGUCUACACUCCGAUGUUGGAAAGAUGUCAUAUAAUUUGAAAUCUCCGGUUGUUCAUCAGUCCUCACUACGUUAUGGUUACACAGAAUUUGUUAUAUGACUUAUGGCCUCAUGGGGUUCUACGAGCGGGCGAUGUGCCUGUGUGUGGCUGCAUUGUUGGUUUGUCAUCGAUUCGUCCAAAUCGCAGUUGGUGCAGCAAGCCCCGAGCAAAAAAUAAAAUAAAAUAAAAAUGCUGCUGUGCUGUCGUGGCCAGGGAUGGAGCUUGGUUACAGGCCAGAGCGAUGGAUGGGUGGUGUGGAGCGCCUCUGGAUCUCCCAUGGCUCUCGCGAACGGACGCGCCAAGGAGGGGACGUGCUUGGUCAACCGCCCCUCUUCUUCCUCCUCCUAAAACGGCGGCAUGCAUGGCACCAUGCAUGCGAUGCGAGCCUCAGGCUCCCCUAUAUUUCGCCCGGCGCCUCCUCUCCUCCGGGCCUUGAGAAUCUCGCCCGCCGCCUGACGCCACCGUCGUCGCGUCCGGCGCUCCGUCCGUGGAAAGAAGAGAAAACCCAUCGUCAGCCAUGGUGAGCGCGCGCGCGAGACGCCUGCGGCGGCCCUGGAUCGACGACGAUGGUUCGAUUCGAUCCUUUUGGUUGGUUGAUUGUUGAUAAUGAGGUGCUCUUGUUGUUGGUGUUGUUUGCGUGAUUGCGAUGCAAGGCGAACUCGGCGUCGGGCAUGGCCGUGAGCGACGAGUGCAAGCUCAAGUUCCAGGAGCUCAAGGCGAAGCGGAGCUUCCGGUUCAUCACGUUCAAGAUCAACGAGCAGUCGCAGCAGGUGGUGGUGGACCGGGUGGGGCAGCCCGGCGAGACCUACGCCGACUUCACCGCCACCAUCCCCGCCGACGAGUGCCGCUACGCCGUCUUCGACUUCGACUUCGUCACCGACGAGAACUGCCAGAAGAGCAAGAUCUUCUUCAUCUCCUGGUACGUGACGUGACCCAUCCAUCCAUGCAUGCAUGGUCUCUCACACGCGAGUACGUAGCUAGUGAACGAUCUGUGCCUGUGGUGGCUGCAUGCAUGCAGGUCCCCGGACACGUCCAGGGUGAGGAGCAAGAUGCUGUACGCCAGCUCCAAGGACAGGUUCAAGAGGGAGCUGGACGGCUACCAGGUGGAGCUGCAGGCCACCGAACCCAGCGAGAUGACGUUGGACAUCGUCAAGGCCAGAGCCCUCUGAACAAAUUUCUCAUCGCAUCGCUCCUUCCAGGCUCCAAGGCCAGCAGCUGGAUCUACACCACGCCCUACGUACCUGCGCCCCCGUAUCGUAUGCCGUUUCCCCUCCGUCGUCGGUGUCGGAGCCUCCCCCUCCUUGUAAACUAGACAUAGAUGCUCUCUCUCGUUGUCUUUCCCGUUUCCAAGAUUUUAGACGGCAUGCCCAUCUUAUUUCCCCUUGUUGCUGAGGUGCGUACUACGUAAAUUUGCCCGUGCUCGUUGUGUAAGCGACUGGCUCCACACGGCCGCACGGCACUUAUCCACGAAAAGACAAACAUUCUGGUGUGUUUUGCUCCUGGUCUCCUUAUGUGCUCCUUCCAAAAGCAGCCCUGAUGCUCACACUAUCCAAAAGUUUAGACGCAUUUGUCUUCUGCUAGUGAUUCUUUUUUAAAUAUUCCAAAGUUAUGGAUGCGAGAGUGAAACGUUAUAUGAAGAAAUUAAACUAUGCAAGGGCAUCUCCAAAGCAGAUACUUAAGACAUGAAUAAUUUGCAAGUAAUUAAAUACAGCAGAUCCGGCCCCUCUCGACCGUGACCGCGUCGCCCCCGCAAGCGACCGGCCGCGCCUCCCCUCUUCCCCACGAGCGUUCCCCCAAUCUCUUCCACCUCCCUGCCGCCGUCGCCGGCGCCCGGCGCGGGCCUGGCCCGGGUGACGUUGGCGGCGGCGGCCCCCGGCCCUUUCCCAUCUAGGGUUUCUCCGGCGCGUGACGGAGCGGCUCCGGGCGGUGUCUUCAGGCGGCGACGGUCCUGCGCGGCGGCGGGGGUUCCUGUCGCGGGUGGGGGCGAGCUCUGGGCGGCGGGGCGGGUUGGCGACGCCCGCCCGACCCAGAUCUGGGCCCUUUGGGCCCCAUCUAGGCUGGGACGGGCUGGUGACAGGCGUGGCGUCGGCGUGGCCCUCAGGAGGCGGUGGUGGUGCGUCGGGCUGGUGGCGGGUGGCGGCUCGGCUGCUGGCGUGCAGCAGCGCGGUGGUCAGGGCUUUGCGGUCCCGUUAUGGGCCCGACCAGGCCUGGGUGGCCUGGUUUGCCUUGGCUGUGGCGUCCGGUUGGCAAUCCGUGUCGGUUCUGGAGGCAGAGGCCUUUGGCGUGACAGCGGUGGAGGCGGUUCCCUCCCGUUCGGCUCUGGUGCUUCCGUCCAUGCCAUCUAGGCGCAUCUUACCUCUGCUCUCUUGACCUCAAUCGUGGUGGUGUUUGCAGCAAGACGGAGUGGAUGGGUCCAAGACCGUGGUGGCGCGUGCUUGCGGGUGGCAAGAUGGUGGGUUGGCUCCGUUCUUGUGGGGGCCGGGGCAUGGGGGUGCAGGAGAAAUCCCUGCCGGUUCUUCCGGCUUCGACGUGGUGAUGCCAGUGGGUGCCGCCAUUUCUUUUUGAAGGGUGUCGGUGCUACCCAUCCCUCGCUCCCCUUCUGCGUGCCGGGGGAAACCCUAGGAACUAUCCGGAAAGCAACGUCGUUGGCGUUCCAUCCCCCCUUUGAGGUGUUGUUUGGUAUGCGGCGGUCCGGUGCCAUGGCGAGUGGUGGGACGUAGAUGGAGGGCGCAGCAGUGAUGGACCAUUCGUGCUUGUCGAGCUACCGUUGUUGGAAUUUUUGUCUUCUUCUUUUUCCUUUUGGGCUUGAUGUGCCGUUGAAAGUGCAAUCAUGCCCUUAAUCUUAUUUUGAUGUUGAUGACAACAUGCAUAUAGGGGACUAAUCAUGUUUAUCAAGUAUAUCUCAGGAUUAAGUCUCAAGGGCCGUGUGUGGAUCAUGACACGGACAAAUAUAUAUAUCACUCAAGAGCGGAGAUACAAGACAAUAGCUUUGGCUCUUUUUCGGUUCGUUCUUGAGUAUAGGGAUCCCGCACUAUUAAGAGGGGAUCGUCGGAUUUCUUGAAAGACUUGCUCAAAACCCACAAAGCAUCCUCUCACAACAUCUCUGCUUCAUCUCUAGUUCUUCCACUAACUUGUGCACAAAGUCUGUUGUGAUCAUGAGCUAGUGUCCUCUGUUUUCACCGGACGACCCAAAUUCUACGGACGUCCGACCCCUCACAGCCGAUCGGGCACCUGGCUCUCUCAGGAUGUCCGGUGCAUCCUCACAGAAAUAAAAUAGCGGAAAUCCGGUCCUCUCCGGACGACCGGUCACCGGACGUCCGUUUCUCUCCGGAAAUCCGGGACAACCUCAGCAGAACACUUAUUAAUGGAUUUCCGGUCCUCACCGGACGACCGGCACAUUCCGGACGUCCGGUGGCUGUGUGUCUUGUGCUACUUUGUGGCUUGGUGGAUUCCCAGUGACCGAACGACCGGCGGCCUGGUCGGACGUUCGGUCCAAUCUGUGCCACCGGACGUCCGGUAUUAUCUGGACGACCGACAACUCAAGUGGCUCAACGGUCAGUCUUUACACUACUACUAUAUAUAGCCCCCUCCCUCCACGGGAUAAGGUUGACCAUUCACUUUGAGCUUUCCAAGAACACAUUUCACUCCCUCUCUUGAUCCCCUACACCAAAUCCUAGACCCCCAAGGGAUUUGGGAACAUUUGAGAGAAGUUCUCCAAUCAAGUGAUAGAUCCACUCCUCCCCCAUUCUUCUCACCAAAGGAAUUCGUGAUUUGAGCAAGUUCUUGAGCUUUUCCCGUCGUUCUUGUUACUCUUGGAGGUUGGAGACUCCUAGGCGGUAGGAGUCAGUCGGUGAGGAAUCGAUCAUUGUGAUUACCCCCGGAAAGUUUGUGAGGGUUUGGAGAUCACCCCAAGGUCUACCACUAGUGGUUGAGAAACGCCUUCGUGGUGUUGUCUCAAAGGGAGAAUAGGGCGAGCCUUCGUAGCGUUGGUGUGCCUUCAUGGUAACAUCCACCUCUCUAACGGCGACGUAGCUUCCCUCCAAGGAAGUGAACAUCAGCAUACAUCCUCGUCUCUCGAAGUUGCGGUUAUUCCUAACCCUAACUCUCUAGUUAUGGUUACUUGUCUCUUAGUCCUUACUUAUAUCAUAUUGUGCUUGCUUACUCACAUAGUUGUGUUACUUGUUUACCUGCUUAGCUCUUAGCAUCAUACUUGCAAUUGUUAGGCUCACUUUCAUAUUCCGCAUUAUUGCCUAAAAUUGCUAAGUAAUAAUUAAAAUUUGUAAUUGUACCUAUAUAUUCACCCCCCUCUAGGUCCAUCUCGAUCCUUUCAAUUGGUAUCAGAGCCUCGUGCUCUAUUCUUGUGGCUUAACCGCCCUUGAGCGAGAUGAACCCGGAUGGGACUCCCCUUGUUGCGGAUCCGAAGAGUACGGACGCGGCUUCCACGGAAGUCAAGUCCUUCACUUCUGAGGAUAUGGAACGGGUCCUUGCUAAGCAAAAGGAGGAGCAUGAUGCUUCUCUUGAGGCCUUGGUCCAAAUGAGACUAGCCACACUAAUCACGAUGCUUGCACCACUUUCUGGUGGUGCGGCCUCGAGGCCAGCUGUGCCUACUCCUUCACUUGGUCAACAACCUCCUAGUAAUGAACACUCCAGUGUUCCUUGGCUUUAUGCAAGACCUCAAAUAGAGAAACCAAAGUAUAACCCUCAAGGCAAACCUCCUUUACUUGAUGACACUACCGAUUUUGCUUUGUGGAGAGUUGCUAUGCAGGAUCAUCUUCGAUAUGGAAAUGAUGAGACGUUGGAUAUCUUGGAGUAUGGCUACCAAGCUGUUGACCCGAAGAAUAUUACUCCAAGAGAGGUAUAUGACAAGAAUCUCAAUGACACAGCAACCAUGUGCAUAAGGAGAGGUAUGACCGACAAGCAAAGGAGACCAUACAUACAUAUCACAAGUGCCAAGGAAUUAUGGGAUAGCAUUGUGAGGACCAAGACCGGUACCUCCACUCUCCGGCUUGCUCAAUAUGAAAUUGCGAAGGGUCAAUUGCAAGACUUUUGUAUGGAGAAAGGUGAAUCUCCCAAGCAAAUCCUUGAGUGUCUCAUGACUCUCACCGCUGACAUCAAGUCUUGUGAGUGUGAUAAGACACAAGAUGGAUUCAACUUGACUAAGCGAUUUCUCGUGGACAAGUUGCUUCAUGCUCUUGCUCCGUAUCAUCAUCAAAUGGUGUGGGACACGAGACACCACCAUGGAUUCAAGUAAAUGACUCCGGAUGACAUCAUAUCCACCUUCCAACUAUUUCAAGAGACAAAGGCAAAUGCUACAAAACAUCUUGCCAUGCAUGGUACCUCAACAUCAAAAAUCAAUCUCGCAUUAAAGGCCAAGCAUGUAUAUGAAGAAGCAAAGUGAAGAAGAGGAAGAUGAUGAGGAUGAAGAUGGUGAUGAGAUUGACUCCGCUGAGAGUCCAUCAUAUGAAGACAUUGCUCUCUUUGUCAAGAAGUUUAGCGCGGGGAAAUUCAAGGGAAGAUUCCAGAAGAAGAAAGUGAGGAAAUGCUACAAUUGUGAAGAAACCAACCACUUCUCCAACGAUUGCCCUUAUGAGAAGAGAGAAGAUAAACCAAGGUUUCCCAAGACCUUUCCCAAGAAGAAGUUGCCAAAUCCUUUGAACUCCAAGCUCAAGAAGAGAGAUGGGAAAGCAAUGGCUGCUCAUGAAGAAUCCGAUCCGGAUGAUGUUAAUGGUUUUGCCGGAGUAGCCCAAGAUUCUCAAAACACUUUGAGGCUAGUCAACAAGAGUGGUGAUGUUGUCACCUACAACUACAUGAAAGACUACAAGGGCAAUGCUCACAAGUGCCUAAUGGCAAAGGCUAUGGUAGAAGAUGGAGAGGAUCAAAACUCUCCUGACAAGGUCAAGGUAACCCCAUGAUCAAACCCUCCUCUUUUCACUCCUUCUACUCCUAGUGAUGAGUAUCUUGAUGCGGAGGAGAACUAUGAUGAUAAUGAUAUAGAUGACCCCAUGUUUGGUAAAUUAAAUAAGGUCAUGUGCUCCCUCAAAGGAAAGAAGCUCACUAUGUUUCAUAUGCUUAUGGAGAUGGUGGGUAAGCACACCGUCACCAUUAAGGCACUCGAAACCCUCAUAACGAGGAAAAGGAAAAAUAUGAAAUCCUUGAGCGGAAAGUCCAAUAUGAGGAAGCACGAAAUGAUGAACUAUGCUUGAAAAUUGGUGCAAACAUUGAUGUUCAUGCUAAAGAUCUUGCCUCCUUGAAACAGGCUAAGGACUCUUGCGAAGAGUUGAUGAAUGAUAAAAGUAAGCUUGUGAAGUCUCAUGCUUCUCUCUCUAAGGAUUGUGAGCUCCUACCUGUGUCCCUCAAGACUAAGGAAGAAGAGCUCACCCUUCUUCCAAAGAGUUUUGAGACGCUCAAGCUUACUUAUCUUGAAACUCUAGCCAAGGCUUACUCUUCUCCUAUUAUCAAUGUUGAUGCUUGUACUAUGAUACGUCUCCAACGUAUCUAUAUUUUUUAUUGUUCCAUGAUGUUAUAUUGUCAAGCUUGGAUGUUUUAUAAUUAUUUAUAGUCAUUUUAUAUCAUUUUUGGUACUAACUAUUGACAUAGUGCCAAGUGCUAGUUGCUGUUUUCUGCAUGUUUUUUACAACACAGGAAAUCAAUAUCAGACGGAGCCAAAUGCAAAGAAACUUCACGGAGAUUUUUUAUGGACCAGAAGACACAUAAUGGGCCUUGGCUGCGCCUGGGGGGUGCUCCAAGGAGAGCACAACCCACUAGGGCGCGCCAGGAGGUCCAGGCGCGCCCUGGUGGGUUGUGCCCACCUCGGGUGCCCCCCGGACCGCCUCUUUGCUCUAUAAAUACCCCAAUAUUCCAAAAAUCCUAGGGGAGUCGAUGAAAUAUUGAUCCAGCCACCGCAGAGUCCAGAACCACCAGAUCCAAUCUAGACACCAUCACAGAUGGAGUUCACCACCUCCAUUGGUGCCUCUCCGAUGAUGCGUGAGUAGUUCUUUGUAGACCUUUGGGUUCGUAGUUAGUAGCUAGAUGGCUUCCUCUCUCUUGAUGAAUUCUCAAUACAAUGGUCUCUUGGAGAUUCAUAUGAUGUAACUCUUUUUGCGGUGUGUUUGUUGGGAUCUGAUGAACUUUGAGUUUAUGAUCAGUUAUAUCUUUUUAUAUCCAUGAAAGUAUUUGAGUUUCUUUGAUCUCUUUUAUGCAUGAUCUCUUAUAGCCUCGUAUUUCUUCUCCGAUAUUUGGGUUUUGUUUGGCCAACUUGAUCUAUUUAUCUUGCAAUGGGAAGAGGUGCUUUGUAGUGGGUUCGAUCUUAUGGUGCUUGAUCCCAAUGACAGAAAGGGAACUGACACGUAUGUAUCGUUGCUACUAGUGAUAAAACGAUGGGGUCUAUCUCUACAUAGAUAGAUCUUGUCUACAUCAUGUCAUCGUUCUUAUUGCAUUACUCCGUUUCUCCAUGAACUUAAUACACUAGAUGCAUGCUGGAUAGCGGUCGAUGUGUGGAGUAAUAGUAGUAGAUGCAGGCAGGAGUCGGUCUACUAAUCUUGGACGUGAUGCCUAUGUAUGAUCAUUGCAUGGAUAUCGUCAUGAUUAUUUGAAGUUCUAUCAAUUACCCAACAAUAAUUUGUUCACCCACCGUUUGCUAUUUUUCUUGAGAGAAGCCACUAGUGAAACCUACGGCCCCCGAGUCUCUUUCUCAUAUAUUUGCCUUUGUGGUCUACUUUUCUUUUGCAUUUAUUUUCAGAUCUAUUAAACUAAAAACACAAAACUACCUCGCUGCAUUUUAUUAUUAUUUAUUUUAUUUGGCGUUCGAUCUAUCAAUCUAUUACAACUUUUUCCCGUCCACGAGCCAUCUCUGGCGCCGUUACCCGAAAGGGAUUGACAACCCCUUUAACACGUCGGGUUGCGAGUGGUUGUUAUUUGUGUGCAGGGGUUGUUUACGUUGUGUUGCUUGGUUCUCCUACUGGUUCGAUAACCUUGGUUUCAUAUCUGAGGGAAAUACCUACCGUCGUUGUGCCGCAUCAUCCCUUCCUCUUUGGGGAAAUACCGACGUAGUCCUAACCUUCAUCAAAAGGAAUUUCUGGUGCCGUUGCCGGGGGGAAUCAAGUCAAGAUAGCCUCCCGUCAACACGCCAUUUCUGGCGCCGUUGCCAGGUAGGAUCUUCAACAUAUACCAGGUUCCUAAUCACAAAUCUCAUCUCCUCACAAUUUACAUUAUUUGCCAUUUGCCUCUCGUUUUCCUCUCCCCCACUUCACAAAAAUUUAUCGUUUUAUUCACCCUUUUUUUCCGUUUGCCGUUUUCUUGCCGAAUCUAUCUGUGUUCUUGCUUCCUAGUCAUAAUGGCUAGCGUCCCUACUCCUCCUUUGUCACCAGAUUUUGAAGUUCUUUACUUCAAGCAAAGACAAGGAGAAAAUUUGAAAGAUGCCUAGUAUAGGCUUAUGGAAUCAUAUCGUAUUUCCAAUCUAAAGGGGGACGCUAAGGUUUUGCUUCAUAAUUUUUACAUAGGAUUGGCUUUGCAUCAUAGACAACUUCUAGACUUUGCCGCUAAAGGGAAUUUUACUGAGCUUGAUGCCAAUGCUGCCUAUGAAAUUUUAGAAGGAAUUUUGGGGAUUCCACCCCAAAAGAAAGGGUUUUCUUUCACCCCCGAGGGAGUUCAAAUGUUGGACAAACUUGGUGAUUUGCAUAAACAUAUGGUUGAAAUACAGAAAUAUAAUGAACCCUGAUACGUCUCCAACGUAUCUAUAAUUUUUGAUUGUUCCAUGCUAUUAUAUAUUCUGUUUUGGAUGUUUAAUGGCCUUUGUUAUACACUUUUAUAUUAUUUUUGGGACUAACCUAUUAACCGGAGGCCCAGCCCAAAUUGCUGUUCUUUUGCCUAUUUUAGUGUCUCGAAGGAAAGGAAUAUCAAACGGAGUCCAAAUGGAAUGAAACCUUCAGGAACGUGAUUUUCGGAACAAACGUGAUCCAGAGGACUUGGAGUGGACGUCAAGCAAUCAACAAGGAGGCCACGAGGUAGGGAGGCGCGCCUGCCCCUGGGUGCGCCCCCACCCUCGUGGGCCCCUCGUAGCUCUCCUGACCGACCUCUUUCACCUAUAUAUACUCAUAUACCCUGGAAACAUCAUAUACAGAGCCAAAACCUAUUUCCACCGCCGCAACCUUCUGUACCCGUGAGAUCCCAUCUUGGGGCCUUUUCUGGCGCUCCGCCGGAGGGGGCAUUGAUCACGGAGGGCUUCUACAUCAACACCAUAGCCUCUCCGAUGAUGUGUGAGUAGUUUACCUCAGACCUUCGGGUCCAUAGUUAUUAGCUAGAUGGCUUCUUCUCUCUCUUUGGAUCUCAAUACAGAGUUCACCUCGAUCUUCUUGGAGAUCUAUUUGAUGUAACUCUUUUUGCGGUGUGUUUGUCGAGAUCCGAUGAAUUGUGGGUUUAUGAUCUAGAUUAUCUAUGAACAAUAUUUGAAUCUUCUCUGAAUUCUUUUAUGUAUGAUUGGUUAUCUUUGCAAGUCUCUUCGAAUUAUCAGUUUGGUUUGGACUACUAGAUUGAUCUUUCUUGCAAUGGGAGAAGUGCUUAGCUUUGGGUUCAAUCUUGCGGUGCUCGAUCCCAGUGACAGUAGGGGAAAUGACACGUAUUGUAUUGUUGCCAUCGAGGAUAAAAAGAUGUGGUUUAUAUCAUAUUGCAUGAGUUUAUCCCUCUACAUCAUGUCAUCUUGCUUAAAGCGUUACUCCGUUCUUAUGAACAUAAUACUCUAGAUGCAUGCUGGAUAGCGGUCGAUGUGUGGAGUAAUAGUAGUAGAUGCAGGCAGGAGUCGGUCUACUUGUCACGGACGUGAUGCCUAUGUACAUGAUCAUACCUAGAUAUUCUCAUUACUAUGCUCAAUUCUAUCAAUUGCUCGACAGUAAUUUGUUCACCCACUGUAAUACUUAUGCUAUCUUGAGAGAAGCCACUAGUGAAACCUAUGGCCCCCGGGUCUAUUUUCCAUCAUAUUAAUCUCCCAUCAACAAGCUAUUUCUGGCGCCGUUUAUUUUGCAAUCCUUACUUUUAAUCUUUAUCAUAAAAAUACCAAAAAUAUUAUCUUAUCAUCUCUAUCAGAUCUCACUUUUGCAAGUGGCCCUGAAGGGAUUGAAAACCCCUUUAUCGUGUUGGUUGCAAGGUUCUUAUUUGUUUGUGUAGGUACAAGGGACUUCAGCAUGGCCUCCUACUGGAUUGAUACCUUGGUUCUCAAAAACUGAGGGAAAUACUUACGCUACUUUGCUGCAUCACCCUUUCCUCUUCAAGGGAAAACCAACGCAGUGCUCAAGAGGUAGCAAGAAGGAUUUCUGGCGCCGUUGCCGGGGAGUCUACGCACAAGUCAAGACAUACCAAGUACCCAUCACAAACACUUAUCCCUCGCAUUACAAUAUUUGCCAUUUGCCUCUCCUUUUCCUCUCCCCCACUUCACCCUUGCCGUUUUAUUUGCCCUCUUUUUCCGUUCCCUCUUUUCUCGUGUUCCUUGAGUUUGCUGCUGUUAUGUCUGAAUCUGAGGAGGUUAUCAUUGAUAAGAGUGAUAAUAAUAACACGGAAAAUUUUGAUGCUUUCAAUGAUCCUCAUGAGGAACGUACUAUCUGAAGGAAAUAUGCCCUAGAGGCAAUAAUAAAGUUAUUAUUUAUUUCCUCAUAUCAUGAUAAAUGUUUAUUAUUCAUGCUAGAAUUGUAUUAACCGGAAACAUAAUACAUGUGUGAAUACAUAGACAAACAUAGUGUCACUAGUAUGCCUCUACUUGACUAGCUCGUUGAUCAAAGAUGGUUGAGUUUCUUAUCCAUAGACAUGAGUUUUCAUUUGAUUAACGGGAUCACAUCAUUAGGAGAAUGAUGUGAUUGACUUGACCCAUUCCUUUAGCUUAGCACUUAAUCGUUUAGUUUACUGCUAUUGCUAUCUUCAUGACUUAUACAUGUUCCUCUGACUAUGAGAUUAUGCAACUCCCGAUUACCGAAGGAACACUUUGUGUGCUACCAAACAUCACAAUGUAACUGGGUGAUUAUAAAGGUGCUCUACAGGUGUCUCCGAUGGUACUUGUUGAGUUGGCAUAAAUCAAGAUUAGGAUUUGUCACUCCGAUUGUCGAAGAGGUAUCUCUGGGCCCUCUCGGUAAUGCACAUCACUAUAAGCCUUGCAAGCAAUGUGAAUAAUAAGUUAGUUGCGGGGUGAUGCAUUACGGAACGAGUAAAGAGACUUGCCGGUAACGAGAUUGAGCUAGGUAUUGAGAUACCGACGAUCGAAUCUCGGGCAAGUAACAUACCGAUGACAAAGGGAACAACGUAUAUUGUUAUGCGGUUUGACCGAUAAAGAUCUUCGUAGAAUAUGUAGGAGCCAAUAUGAGCAUCCAGGUUCCGCUAUUGGUUAUUGACCGGAGACGUGUCUCGGUCAUGUCUACAUAGUUCUCGAACCCAUAGGGUCCGCACGCUUAAAGUUCUGUGACGAUCGGUAUUAUGAGUUUGUGUAUUGAUGUACCGAAGGUAGUUCGGAGUGCCGGAUGUGAUCACGGACAUGACGAGGAGUCUCGAAAUGGUUGAGACGUAAAGAUUGAUAUAUUGGACGACUAUGUUCGAACACCGGAAAGGUUCCGGAAGGUUUCGGGCAUAUACCGGAGUACCGGGGGUUACCGAAACCCCCCGGGGAGUUAAUUGGGCCUCAUGGCCCCUAGUGGGAGAAGAGGAGGGGCGAUCAGGGCAGCCGCGCGCCCCUCCCCCUCUAUUUCGAAUUGGACAAGGAGGGGGGGGGGCGCCCCCCUUUUUCCUUCUCUUCCUCUCUCCCUUCCUUUCCUUCUCCUACUCCUAAUAGGAAAAGAGGAGUCCUACUCCCGAUGGGAGUAGGACUCCCGGUGAGAGUAGGACUCCCCCCUUGGCGCGCCCUCCUCCUAGCCGGCCGCCUCCCCCUAGCUCCUUUAUAUACGAGGGCAGGGGGCACCCCAAAGACACAACAAUUGAUCAUUGAUCUUUUAGCCGUGUGCGGUGCCCCCUCCACCAUAAUCCACCACGGUCAUAUCGUAGCGGUGCUUAGGCGAAGCCCUGCGUCGGUAGCUUCAUCAACAUCGUCACCGCGCCGUCGUGCUGACGAAACUCUCCCUCGAUCUCUACUGGAUCGUGAGUUCGCGGGACGUCACCGAGCUGAACGUGUGCUGAACACGGAGGUGCCGUACGUUCGGUGCUGAAGAUCGAUCGAUCGUGAAGACGUAUGACUACAUCAACCGUGUCGUUAUAACGCUUCCGCUUAACGGUCUACGAGGGUACGUGGACGACACUCUCCCCUCUCGUUGCUAUGCAUCACCAUGAUCUUGCGUGUGCGUAGGAAUUUCUUUGAAAUUACUACGUUCCCCAACAGUGGCAUCCGAGCCAGGUUUAUGCGUAGAUGUUAUAUGCACGAGUAGAACACAAGUGAGUUGUGGGCGAUACAAGUCAUACUGCUUACCAGCAUGUCAUACUUUGGUUCGGCGGUAUUGUUGGAUGAAGCGGCCCGGACCGACAUUACGCGUACGCUUACGCGAGACUGGUUCUACCGACGUGCUUUGCACACAGGUGGAUGGCGGGUGUCAGUUUCUCCAACUUUAGUUGAACCGAGUGUGGCUACGCCCGGUCCUUGAGAAGGUUAAAACAACACUAACUUGACGAACUAUCGUUGUGGUUUUGAUGCGUAGGUAAGAACAGUUCUUGAUCAACCCGUAGCAGCCACGUAAAACUUGCAACAACAAAGUAGAGGACGUCUAACUUGUUUUUGCAGGGCAUGUUGUGAUGUGAUAUGGUCAAGACAUGAUGCUAUAUUUUAUUGUAUGAGAUGAUCAUGUUUUGUAACGGAGUUAUCGGCAACUGGCAGGAGCCAUAUGGUUGUCGCUUUAUUGUAUGCAAUGCAAUCGCCCUGUAAUUGCUUUACUUUAUCACUAAGCGGUAGCGAUAGUCGUAGAAGCAAUAGUUGGUGAGAUGACAACGAUGCUACGAUGGAGAUCAAGGUGUCGCGCCGGUGACGAUGGUGAUCAUGAUGGUGCUUCAGAGAUGGAGAUCACAAGCACAAGAUGAUGAUGGCCAUAUCAUAUCACUUACAUUGAUUGCAUGUGAUGUUUAUCCUUUAUGCAUCUUAUUCUGCUUUGAUUGACGGUAGCAUUAUAAGAUGAUCUCUCACCAAAUUUCAAGGUAUAAGUGUUCUCCCUGAGUAUGCACCGUUGCGAAAGUUCGUCGUGCCGAGACACCACGUGAUGAUCGGGUGUGAUAAACUCUACGUUCAAAUAUAACGGGUGUAAGCCAGUUUUGCACACGUAGAAUACUCGGGUUAAACUUGACGAGCCUAUCAUAUGCAGAUAUGGCCUCGGAACACAGAGACCGAAAGGUCGAGCGUGAAUCAUAUAGUAGAUAUGAUCAACAUAGUGAUGUUCACCAUUGAAAACUACUCCAUCUCACGUGAUGAUCGGACAUGGUUUAGUUGAGAUGGAUCACGUGAUCACUUAGAUGAUUCGAGGGAUGUCUAUCUAAGUGGGAGUUCUUAAAUAAUAUGAUUAAAUUGAACUUUAAUUUAUCAUGAACUUAGUACCUGAUAGUAUUUUGCUUGUCUAUGUUGUUGUAGAUAGAUGGCCCGUGUUGUUGUUCCGUUGAAUUUUAAUGCGUUCCUUGAGAAAGCAAAGUUGAAAGAUGAUGGUAGGAAUUACACGUACUGGGUCCGUAACUUGAGGAUUAUCCUCAUUGCUGCACAGAAGAAUUAUGUCUUGAAAGCACCGUUGGGUGCCAGGCCUGCUGCAGAUGCAACUGACGACGUUAAGAACGUCUGGCAGAGCAAAGCUGAUGACUACUCAAUAGUUCAGUGUGCCAUGCUUUACGGCUUAGAACCGGGAAUUCAACGACGUUUUGAAUGUCAUGGAGCAUAUGAGAUGUUCCAGGAGUUGAAGUUAAUAUUUCAAGCAAAUGCCCGGAUUGAGAGAUAUGAAGUCUCCAAUAAGUUCUAUAGCUGCAAGAUGGAGGAGAAUAGUUCUGUCAGUGAACAUAUACUCAAAAUGUCUGGGUAUAACAAUCACUUGAUUCAACUGGGAGUUAAUCUUUUGGAUGAUAGUGUCAUUGACAGAAUUCUUCAAUCACUGCCACCAAGCUACAAGAGCUUUGUGAUGAACUAUAAUAUGCAAGGGAUGGAUAAGACAAUUCCCGAGCUCUUCGCGAUGCUAAAAGUUGCGGAGGUAGAAAUCAAGAAGGAGCAUCAAGUGUUGAUGGUCAACAAGACCACCAGUUUCAAGAAAAAGGGUAAAGGGAAGAAGAAGGGCAACUUCAAGAAGAACAGCAAACAAGUUGCUGCUCAGGAGAAGAAACCCAAGUCUGGACCUAAGCCUGAGACUGAGUGCUUCUACUGCAAACAGACUGGUCACUGGAAGCGGAACUUCCCCAAGUAUUUGGCGGACAAGAAGGAUGGCAAGGUGAACAAAGGUAUAUGUGAUAUACAUGUUAUUGAUGUGUACCUUACUAAUGCUCACAGUAGCACCUGGGUAUUUGAUACUGGUUUUGUUGCUAAUAUUUGCAACUCGAAACAGGUGUCGGUGUCAAAAACGGCGGAUCUCGGGUAGGGGGUCCCGAACUGUGCGUCUAAGGUCGAUGGUAACAGGAGACGGGGGACACGAUGUUUACCCAGGUUCGGGCCCUCUCUAUGGAGGUAAUACCCUACUUCCCGCUUGAUUGAUCUUGAUGAAUAUGAGUAUUACAAGAGUUGAUCUACCACGAGAUCGUAAUGGCUAAACCCUAGAGGCCUAGCCUGUAUGACUAUGGUAAUGAGUAUAUCCUUUCCAGACUACGCCCUCCGGUUUAUAUAGACACCGAAGGGAUCUAGGGUUACAUAGAGUCGGUUACAUAAGAAGGAAUCUUCAUAGUCGGUCGCCUAGCUUGCCUCCCACGCCAAGGAAAGUCCUAUCCGGAUACGAGUAUAGUCUUCGGUCUUCAUGUCUUCACAGCCCACCAGUCUGGCCCAUGGAUAACAGGCCGGACGUCCAAGGACCCCUUAGUCCAGGACUCCCUCAGUAGCCCUCGAACCAGGCUUCAAUGACAAGGUGUUCGGCACGCAGAUUGUCUUCGACAUUGCAAGACGGGUUCCUUCUCCAAGUAAUGUAUUCGGCCGUUGAUUCAAUAUCGCCCUCCUCGGCUUCUGUGCGCUAAUAACUUCGGCUUCCAUGUGUCGAGCGAAUCCAGAAGGUCAGGGUAUUUUUGCAAAUAACACCCCAUCCAGGCAAGGAAGAGCGUCUAUUUAAAGAGAUUGGAUCUUAGAUCCAUUUGGCGCCACACGGAGAAAGUCCCCAGAGAUCGCCAGGAGAAACCAUUCCAACAUGGCUAGCAUUCCCAGCUCCUCCUCCCGUUCCGGCCCAGAGAAAGGCGAGUGGGAGAAGUGCUCUGUAUCCCACAGUCAAUUGGCGAAAUUGCAAACGCAGGGAUUUCUUCCUCCGGCGGAUCUGGUCCCUGUUCGAGCAGGGCUGGCCUCCUUUAAUGGUGAGACCCAGGCGGAGGACUUCCCCAAUCCAUCCGGGGGAGCGAUUGUGUUUCGUCCCCUUUCUGCUAAGAGGCGUCGGAUUUCCAAUCCAUCCGUUCCUUCGAGGGCUUCUGGAAUACUAUGGCCUCCAGCUGCACAACUUCACUCCCGCCUCUAUCCUGCACAUCACAGGUUAUGUCGCUUUAUGCGAAUUAUUUCUGGGUGUUGAGGCCCACUUUGAACUGUGGAGAAAAUUGUUCUGUCUUGUCUCGCGUAACCAUGAGGGGUCAAUAUUUGAAGUGGGCGGAGUCGAAGUGUGGCGCAUUGCCGAUACCGGGUACCUGUCCGGCACACCAAAGAGGGCAUCUGAAGAAUGGCCUUCUGAAUUGUUCUACAUUGAGGACGUUGCGCUUCCCGACCUAGUUCGAAAGGGUCUUCCUGAAUUUGCAAGCGUUCCACUGAAGAAACGCCACAGUUGGCGUCCCCGGGGUCUUGAAGAGGAUGACAGUGCGGAAGUUGGUCAGCUCAUGAGCAAGAUAAAGAUGCUCGCCCAGUCCGAUUAACAAUAGUCGAGGUAAUGGCAGCCUCCAUAGCGCGAGGGGUUCAGCCGCUUCAAUAUAGAGGGCUCCCAAUGUGGCACUACAAUGGGGAGGAUGACACCUCCCGCUGUGGUCGAAAAGGUCCGGACACCCCCGCCGCUCUGGCCAAGAUACUGGCCGAGCUGUUCAAAGGGGAGGAAGAGGAAUUUCUCCGAAUCAAUCGCAGAGAUGGGUAUUCUAUGUAUAAUCCUCCCAGUUGGGUAAGCCUCAAUCCUUCUGCUUUACUCAUUCCGCUUCCCGCAUCACCUUUGAUAAAUUUCUAAUCCGCUUAUAACAGCAUUGGCAAAAAAUCACCGAGGGACUUUAUAGUCCCGCCCCACAGCCGGAAAACCACAACCGGGAGGUGGAUCCUGGAUUUGAAGAGGACUCGGAUAUAUCCGUGGUACUUGCGGAAGGGGUGUUUUACCAGGCGAGCUACGAUGGCACUGAAGUGGCUAUUAUCGCCGAUUAUCCUGGUCUUCUUCCUGCUUCCCACGUAAGUCAUCAAGAAAAAUCCCCCUCGGAAGAGUUUCCUCGCACUGCCUCACCUACCGCACUACCUCGUGCUCCAAAGGGGAGGCAUUCGGCACGCCAUGCUACUCCGGGGGCGACUCCAAAGAGAGCGGCUCUAGCGCCGAGCAAGGCCUCUAAAAGGAAGGCCGGUGAAGACACGACCGGUCCCUCGUCAAAGAGGUACGGAUUUGAAGGUAUACUUUAUUAGUCACAUCCAACUGUAACUUGUGUGUUUGUCUUGCACCAGAAAAAAGGUUCACCGGACUAUGUCCGGGGGUCCGGCCAGCCGUACUCCCGACAACCGGGAUUUAGACCCCGCUAGAGAAACGGGAGCCUGUACGGGAACAACGCCGGACUGUCCCUCGGCCGAGGGUUCGGAAAAUAUGUCCGUUACCAACUCAGAAGUAGAGAGCGCCAUGAACCAUCGGCGCUGCAGGGCUGUUUUACGAGACCCCCAGCUCUCGGAAGAGGCAUUCAAUGCCUUCAGCUCGGCUGACGCAUACAUCCGAGCUGCUCGGAACGGGCUUAGCAGAGCCACAAAGCAGCAUUUAACAGAUGUGCAGGUAAGCUUACAGUGCCCAAAAUAUGAUAACCAUGUGCCAGUAGCCCCCGAGACUUAAAGUAGUUGGUACAACUGAUUUGAGGAUCGUUGUAUAACCAGGCUCUUACGGAGAAGAACGUCAUGUUAGCCCAAGAGCUAAAAAGGUGUCAGACACAGCUAACUGUUGUCGCCGCCGAACUGGAGAAAUCCAAGAAGGCGUCAUCUGGUAAUAUUCCCCUCCAUCGAGAAAUAUAAUUAUAUGCUAUUAAUGCCAACAGUGUUGCCUAUACCAUGACAUGAUUGUCAGAGGAACUCAAGGAGGCGCUGGAAAUCACGCAAGCGAAUGAACAAGAAGCCAGAAGGCUACAUGCUGCGGGCGAGCGUGUGCAUAAGCAGGUCAUUGUUGAGAAAAACUAACUCCAGGAUUGCAAGACCCAACUAGGCGAAGAGCUGAAGGAUGUGCGGGCCCAGCUAGCCGAUUCCGUGAAGGAGAACAAGAAGCUGCGGGGCGGCAUAUUCAGUAUGUGUUCGCACUAUUUUUAAAGUAGUUCGAAGAUAAGUGGAACUGAAGUAUAGUUAUGAUUGCAGGUAUAUUGACGGGCUGUCCUGAAGAGGAGGUGUCCGGAUCAUCAAAUGAUCUACUGCAAGGGAUGUUGCAAGUGCACGAACAGGCUCGGCUGGCGAUGCGGAGUGUUGUCAAGGCCCUAUGGCCAUCCACUUCCCCUCCAGGAAGUAUGGAGGAGCUUGUAGAGCUGUUCAAAGGAGCGCGGCGGCGUAUCCGAAUGUGGAAGAUAUCGGCCUGCCGAGAGGGUGCGCGAGAGGCCUGGGCCAUGGUGAAGACGCGGUAUACCAAGCUGGAUCCUAAUCACAUGGCCUGUGUCGGACCGCUAGGGUCGAACGGGGAAGAGAUUCCCGUUAGUUUAGUAUAUGACCAAGUAGAGGUGGACGCCAAAUAUUCCCAACAGGAUUGUAAAUUAGACCGCCUUUUGGGCGGUGUAGAGGAGGAAGUGUUUGAGUCCAAGUGACUAUGUACUUUCCUUGAUAUGUCUAACCCUAGCUGAAUUGUAUAUCGUUUGUCAUGGUAGACCUUUUCGCUUCAACCUCCAGACCCGAAGGUGCGAAGUGUUUCCGAAUACUUGCACGGCCGAAUAGACCGGAGUAUGCGCGGAAAGCUAGGCGUAGGGGUCAUAGUUGCUUGAACAGACAAGUUGUAUCCGGCUAGCUAUGUUAUAUUACAUUGAGAUUGUAAGAAACAUCUUCCAGAGAGAAUAGUUCCGUUAAGGGUUCCUUUCCCUGGGUUUGCAUGCACUAGUGUACAUGUCCGAAUUGUGAUGGGAAAAUCACAGUGUAUGUAACUUCCGGGGGUUCAUAAUGGAGUGAAUGCAAAGAUGUCUUUAAUUCACCGACCGAAUAUUCCCUUAAGAACGCUAGAUUUCGACUUCACCCAGUCUAAGGUACACAUCCGGAUGACCCGGCAGUAACAAUCGCAGAGGUGCUCCCUUUAUGCCCUAGCCGAACUAACGGGAACGUAGGGCAUAAGCACAGGAGCCAGGCAACCCAGCUUUGCCAAAACUUAAGUCAUAUCGAUGCAUAUAGUGGCGAAGAAAAGGUACAUAUGGAAAAACUCAUAUGUGAAGAGCUUGAUGCUCAAGGAAUAAUAAUACAAAGCUUCUGUCCCAGAAGCCCCCAGGUAUAAUGGACGUACAUAUUUAAAUAUGUAUAGGUCACAAGUGCGCGGUUGAGCCGCGCGAAAGCUUUAAGGCUAAAAAGAAAAGGAAAGCAAAAAAGAGAGAAAAAAUAGGGUAUAUAGUAGGGAGAAGGGGACGGACAAAGAUUUCGGCGCUAGGCAUAGAAUCUUCGGAGUCUGGCCACAUUCCAUGGGUUCGGCUCUAAGCGAUUGUGUGAGGCAUCACGUAGGCAGUACGCUCCUCCGGUGAGAACUUCGUCGAUGAUGAAGGGACCCUCCCACUUGGGCUUGAGUUUGUCCUUUUUCUUCUCCGGCAAGCGUAGAACUAGUUCGCCAACAUUAUAAGUUUUGGCCCAUACUUCUCUGCUUUGAUAUCUUCGGGCCUGCUGUUGAUAAAAUGCGGAACGGGCUUUUGCGACGUCGCGCUCCUCCUCCAGGGCAUCUAAGUUGUCCUGCCGAUCAAGCUCGGCUUCUCUCUCUUCAUACAUGCGCACUCGAGGUGAGCCAUGAAUAAUGUCGCAGGGUAACACAGCCUCUGCGCCGUACACCAUGAAAAAGGGUGUGUAUCUGGUAGUGCGAUUGGGCGUGGUCCGCAGCCCCCAAAGAACGGAGUCGAGCUCCUCGACCCAGUGCUUGUCUGAUUCUGUCAAAGACCGCACUAGUCUGGGUUUAAUGCCGCUCAUAAUGAGACCAUUGGCUCGUUCGACUUGACCAUUUGUUUGUGGGUGAUAGACGGAGGCAUAAUCGAGUUUAAUGCCCAGAUUAGCACACCAGGUUUUUACCUCGUCGGCUGUGAAAUUGGAGCCGUUAUCGGUGAUGAUGCUGUGUGGAACACCAUAGCUGUGCACAACACCGGAUAUGAAAUAUAUCACUGGUCCGGCCUCGGCCGUUUUGACCGGUUUGGCCUCUAUCCACUUAGUGAAUUUAUCUACCAUGACCAGCAGGUAUUUUUUCUUAUGGCUUCCCCCUUUAAGGGUUCCGACCAUAUCCAGUCCCCAGACCGCGAAAGGCCAAGUGAUGGGGAUAGUUUGUAAGGCAGUUGGGGCAAUGUGGCUUUGGUUGGCGAAGAGUUGGCAUCCGAUGCAGCGUUGGACAAGGUCCUGCGCGUCUGCUCGGGCUGUCGGCCAAUAAAACCCAGUGCGGAAGGCCUUGCUAACAAGGGCCCGAGCUGCGGCGUGGUGUCCGCCGAGACCAGCGUGAAUUUCUGCUAAAAGCUUCCGCCCCUCUUCCUCGGAGAUACAUCGUUGAAGUACUCCGGUAGUACUUUUGUUGUAGAGCUCUCCCUUGUGCACCUUGUAGGCCUUCGAGCGCCGGACAAUGCAGCGAGCCUCAUUCUGGUCUUCGGGAAGCUCCUUCCUAUUAAUGUAGGCCAAGAAGGGUUCGGUCGAUGGGUCAAUGACUGCCAUAAUGAGAUGGGACGAUGGUGUUAUUUCGGUAGCUGAGCCCCCGAUACUAUCGGCGUGUUCGGGAUUUGGGGUUGUAUUCGGAUCUGGACUGUCGUUGCUGCCCUCCCCUUGCCACACCACGAAUGGCUUGAAAAGCCUUUCCAGGAAAAUGUUGGGUGGGACAGGGUCGCGCUUGGCGCCAAUGCAAGCAAGGACGUCCGCUGCUUGAUUGCUUUCCCGGGCGACGUGAUGAAAUUCGAGCCCCUCGAACCGAGCCGAUAUUUUUAAGACGACAUUACGAUAGGCUGCCAUCUUUGGAUCUUUGGCAUCAAAGUCUCCAUUUAUUUGAGAUAUUGCGAGGUUUGAAUCCCCGUGCACCUCUAGGCGUUGUAUGCCCAUGGAUACGGCUAUCCGAAGGCCAUGCAAUAGGGCCUCGUAUUCGGCUGCGUUGUUGGAGUCUGUGUAUAGUAUUUGGAGUACGUACUGGACGACGUCUCCAGUGGGGGAUGUUAACACGACUCCCGCUCCUAGCCUUGUCAGCAUUUUGGAGCCGUCAAUAUACAUAACCCAAUUGGAAUAUGCGCCGUACUCUUUAGGGAGUUCGGCCUCUGUCCAUUCGGCGACGAAGUCGGCCAGUACUUGGGAUUUGAUGGCUCAACGUGGCUUGUAUGUUAUGUCAAAUGGAAGUAGCUCUAUGGCCCAUUUGGCGAUCCGUCCCGUGGCAUCGCGGUUGUUUGUUAUGUCAUUGAGCGGGACUUCAGAAGCCACCGUGAUUGAACACUCUUGGAAGUAGUGUCGUAGCUUUCGGGAUGCCAUAAAGACCGCACAUGCUAUCUUUUGAUAAUGGGGGUACCGGGAUUUGCAUGGUGUGAGGACAGCAGAUAUGUAGUAUACUGGUUUUUGAAGUGGGAAUUUGUGUCCGUCCUCUUCUCGUUCGACGACGAGCACGGCGCUCACCACCUGAUGUGUUGCCGAUAUGUAUAUCAACAUGGGUUCGCCAGCGUUUGGUGCAGCUAGGAUUGGGUUGCUUGCUAGGAGGGCCUUUAUUUCCUCCAGUCCGACAGUCGCCGCGUCUGUCCAUUCGAAAUCAUCAUUGCACCGUAAGAGGCAAUAGAGUGGCAGUGCCUUUUCUCCUAAUCUGGAUAUAAAGUGGCUUAACGCUGCCACGCAACCAACAAGUUUUUGGACUUGCUUGAGGUCUGUUGGCGUAGCCGACUGUGACAAGGCUCGGAUUUUGGCCGGGUUUGCUUCUAUCCCUCUAUUGGAGAUGAUGAAGCCCGGCAGUUUUCCCGCGGGACGCCGAAGACACACUUUUCUCGGUUGAGUUUAAUGUCAUACGCACGGAGGUUGUCGAAUGUAAGACGUAAGUCGUCUAUCGACGUGCCUAGUUUUGAUGACGAUGUCAUCGAAGUAAGCUUCUACUGUCUUGCCGAUCUGCUUCUCCAGGCAGGUUUGAAUCAUGUGUUGGUAUGUGGCGCCGGCGUUCUUGAGCCUGAAGGGCAUGGUGUUGAAGCAAAAUGGGCCAUAUGGGGUAAUAAAUGCUGUUGCAGCUUGAUCGGAUUCCUUCAUUUUGAUUUGAUGGUAUCCGGAAUAUGCAUCGAGGAAACACAGUGAAUCGUGUCCUGCGGUGGCGUCAAUGAUUUGAUCAAUGCGGGGGAGGGGGAAGGGAUCCUUAGGGCAAGCCUUGUUGAGGUCUUUGAAAUCGACACACAGGCGCCAGGAUUUGUCCUUCUUUGGUACCAUCACCAGGUUUGCCAGCCAGUCCGGAUGUUUGAUUUCUCUGAUGAAUCCGGCUUCGAUAAGUUUGGCCAGCUCCUCCCCCAUGGCUUGUCGCUUGGGUUCGGAAAAGCGCCGUAGUGUUUGCUUGACUGGUUUAAAUCCCUUUAAUAUAUUGAGGCUAUGUUCAGCUAGCUUGCGUGGGAUCCCUGGCAUAUCUGAAGGGUGCCAGGCAAAUAUGUCCCAGUUUUCGCGCAGGAAUUCUCGUAGUGCGGCGUCAAUUGUUGGGUUCAGUUGCGCUCCGAUAGAUGCUGUCUUCUUAGGGUCCGUUGGGUGGACCUGGAAUUUGACUAUUUCUUCUGCUGGUUUGAAGAAGGUGGAUUUUGGGCGUUUGUCGAGUAUCACAUCGCCCUUGUCCACCGUGGAGCGCAGUGCGGUUAGUUCAUUGGCCGCGAAGGCUUCGGAUAGCGCCUCAAGGGCCAAGGAUGCGGUUUUGUUUUCAGCGCGGAGUGCUAUGUCCGGAUCACUUACGAGAGUGAUUAUACCGUUUGGCCCGGGCAUUUUGAGCUUCAUAUACCUGUAAUGAGGUAUAGCUUGGAAGCGUGUAAAAGCAUCCUGCCCCAACAAGGCGUGGUAUCCGCUGCUGAAAGGGGCCACUUGGAAAGUGAUUUCUUCGGACCGAUAAUUCUGCGGCGUGCCGAAUACCAUGUCAAGUGUGAUUUUGCCCGCGCACCGUGCCUUCCGACUGGGAAUGAUUCCUCGGAAGGUUGUGCUACUUUGCUUGAUGCGGCUCCUGUCUAUUUCCAUUUUGGGGAGUGUGUCCUCAUAAAUGAGAUUUAGUCCACUGCCGCCGUCCAUGAGGACUUUAGUAAGUCGAAACCCGUCCACGAUAGGACUGAGGACUAAUGCGGCUGGCACUCGGACUGUCCUGUACCUCAGUUCGUCACCGGCAUUAAAUGUUAUAGCCGUGUCGUUCCAAGGGUUUAUUGCAGCAAUUUGGCAAACUUCGAUGAGGUCGCGAAGUGCCCUUUUGCGCUUGUUGUUUGAAGCGAAUGUCUCGAAGACCGUCAAUACUCUUGUGUCGUCGCUUUCUGGAGGGUGUUGUUCUGGGGUGUCCUUGAUAAGGAUGUCCUUGCCGCUCUUGGCUACCUGCCGGAGUAUCCAACAUGCUCUAAGGCUGUGGGUUGCCACGGUAUCUGGCAUCGUGUGUAUUUUGCAUGGGCCAUCGAGCCAUCCCUCCAGAACGGUGUCGUGCCGCGUAAUGGGUUUAUGUUUCUUGACUGUUGGACUGGGCUAUUGGAAAUAUGCCCUAGAGGCAAUAAUAAAAUGGUUAUUAUUAUAUUUCCUUGUUCGUGAUAAUUGUCUAUUGUUCAUGCUAUAAUUGUGUUAUCCGGAAAUCGUAAUACAUGUGUGAAUACAUAGACCACAACAUGUCCCUAGUGAGCCUCUAGUUGACUAGCUCGUUGAUCAACAGAUAGUCAUGGUUUCCUGACUAUGGACAUUGGAUGUCAUUGAUAACGGGAUCACAUCAUUAGGAGAAUGAUGUGAUGGACAAGACCCAAUCCUAAGCAUAGCACAAGAUCGUGUAGUUCGUUUGCUAGAGCUUUUCCAAAUGUCAAGUAUCAUUUCCUUAGACCAUGAGAUUGUGCAACUCCCGGACACGAUAGGAGUGCUUUGGGUGUGCCAAACGUCACAACGUAACUGGGUGGCUAUAAAGGUGCACUACGGGUAUCUCCGAAAGUGUUUGUUGGGUUGGCACGAAUCGAGACUGGGAUUUGUCACUCCGUAUGACGGAGAGGUAUCUCUGGGCCCACUCGGUAAUGCAUCAUCAUAAUGAGCUCAAUGUGACCAAGUGUUUGGUCACGGGAUCAUGCAUUACGGUACGAGUAAAGUGACUUGCCGGUAACGAGAUUGAACAAGGUAUUGGGAUACCGACGAUCGAAUCUCGGGCAAGUAACGUACCGAUUGACAAAGGGAAUUGUAUACGGGAUUGAUUGAAUCCUCGACAUCGUGGUUCAUCCGAUGAGAUCAUCGUGGAACAUGUGGGAGCCAACAUGGGUAUCCAGAUCCCGCUGUUGGUUAUUGACUGGAGAGUCGUCUCGGUCAUGUCUGCAUGUCUCCCGAACCAGUAGGGUCUACACACUUAAGGUUCGGUGACGCUAGGGUUGUAGAGAUAUUAGUGUGCGGAAAUCCGAAAGUUGUUCGGAGUCCCGGAUGAGAUCCCGGACGUUACGAGGAGUUCCGGAAUGGUCCGGAGGUGAAGAAUUAUAUAUAGGAAGUCCAGUUUCGGCCACCGGGAAAGUUUCGGGGGUCACCGGUAUUGUACCGGGACCACCGGAAGGGUCCCGGGGGUCCACCGGGUGGGGCCACCUAUGCCAGAGGGCCCCAUGGGCUGAAGUGGGGAAGGGAACCAGCCCCUGGUGGGCUGGUGCGCCCCCCUUGGGCCUCCCCUGCGCCUAGGGUUGGAAACCCUAGGGGUGGGGGGGCGCCCCACUUGGCUUGGGGGGCAAGCCACCCCCUUGGCCGCCGCCCCCCUUGGAGAUUGCAUCUCCUAGGGCCGCCGCCCCCCAGGGGCCCUAUAUAAAGGGGGGGAGGGAGGGCAGCCGCACCCAAGCCCUGGCGCCCCCCUUGCUGGAUCAAGAAGGAGAAGACGUCUUCCCAACCGUACGUGUGUUGAACGCGGAGGUGCCGUCUGUUCAGCGCUCGGUCAUCGGUGAUUUGGAAAACGACGAGUACGACUCCAUCAACCCCGUUCUCUUGAACGCUUCCGCUCGCGAUCUACAAGGGUAUGUAGAUGCACUCCUCUCUCUCUCGUUGCUAGAUGACUGCAUAGAUUGAUCUUGGUGAUGCGUAGAAAAUUUUAAAUUUCUGCUACGAUCCCCAACAGUGGCAUCAUGAGCUAGGUCUAUGCGUAGUUUCUAUGCACGAGUAGAACACAAACUUGUUGUGGGCAUAGAUGUUGUCAAUUUUCUUGCCACUACUAGUCUUAUCUUGUUUCGGCGGCAGCGUGGGAUGAAGCGGCCCGGACCGACCUUACACGUACGCUUACGUGAGACAGGUUCCACCGACUGACAUGCACUAGUUGCAUAAGGUGGCUAGCGGGUGUCUGUCUCUCCCACUUUAGUCGGAUCGGAUUCGAUGAAAAGGGUCCUUAUGAAGGGUAAAUAGAAAUUGGCAUAUCAUGUUGUGGUUUUACGUAGGUAAGAAACGUUCUUGCUAGAAACCUAUAGAAGCCACGUAAAAAACAUGCAACAACAAUUAGAGGACGUCUAACUUGUUUUUGCAGCAUAUGCCUUGUGAUGUGAUAUGGCCAAAAGGAUGUGAUGAAUGAUAUAUGUGAUAUAUGAGAUUGAUCAUGUUCUUGUAAUAGGAAUCACGACUUGCAUGUCGAUGAGUAUGACAACCGGCAGCAGCCAUAUGAGUUGUCUUUAUUUUUGUAUGACCUACGUGUCAUUGAAUAACGCCAUGUAAAUUACUUUACUUUAUUGCUAAACACGUUAGCCAUAGAAGUAGAAGUAAUCGUUGGCGUGACAACUUCAUGAAGACACGAUGAUGGAGAUCAUGAUGAUGGAGAUCAUGGUGUCAUGCCGGUGACGAAGAUGAUCAUGGCGCCCCAAAGAUGGAGAUCAAAGGAGCAAUAUGAUACUGGCCAUAUCAUGUCACUAUUUGAUUGCAUGUGAUGUUUAUCAUGUUUUACAUCUUAUUUGCUUAGAACGAUGGUAGCUUAAAUAAGAUGAUCCCUCGCAAUAAUUUCAAGAAAGUGUUCCCCCUAACUGUGCACCGUUGCGAAGGUUCGUUGUUUCGAAGCACCACGUGAUGAUUGGGUGUGAUAGAUUCUAACGUACGAAUACAACGGGUGUAAGCCAGAUUUACACACGCAAUACACUUAGGUUGACUUGACGAGCCUAGCAUGUACAGACAUGGCCUCGGAACACGGUAGACCGAAAGGUCGAGCAUGAGUCGUAUAGAAGAUACGAUCAACAUGAAGAUGUUCACCGAUGUUGACUAGUCCAUCUCACGUGAUGAUCGGAUACGGCCUAGUUGACUCGGAUCAUGUUUCACUUAGAUGACUAGAGGGAUGUCUAUCUGAGUGGGAGUUCAUUGAAUAAUUUGAUUAGAUGAACUUAAUUAUCAUGAACUUAGUCUAAAAUCUUUACAAUAUGUCUUGUAGAUCAAAUGGCCCACGCUAAUGUUGCCCUCAACUUCAACGCGUUCCUAGAGAAAACCAAGCUGAAAGAUGAUGGCAGUAACUAUACGGACUGGGUCCGGAACCUGAGGAUCAUCCUCAUAGCUGCCAAGAAAGAUUAUGUCCUAGAAGCACCGCUAGGUGACGCACCCAUCCCAGAGAACCAAGACGUUAUGAACGCUUGGCAUCAGCGUGCUGAUGAUUACUCCCUCGUUCAGUGCGGCAUGCUUUACAGCUUAGAACCGGGGCUCCAAAAGUGUUUUGAGCAACACGAAGCAUAUGAGAUGUUCGAAGAGCUGAAAAUGGUUUUCCAAGCUCAUGCCCGGGUCGAGAGAUAUGAAGUCUGCGACAAGUUCUUCAGUUGUAAGAUGGAGGAAAAUAGUUCUGUCAGUGAGCACAUACUCAAAAUGUCUGGGUUACACAACCGCUUGACUCAGCUGGGAGUUAAUCUCCCGGAUGACGCGGUCAUUGACAGAAUCCUUCAGUCGCUUCCACUGAGCUACAAGAGCUUUGUGAUGAACUUCAAUAUGCAGGGGAUGGAAAAGACCAUUCCUGAGGUAUAUUCAAUGCUGAAAUCAGCGGAGGUGGAGAUCAAAAAGGAACAUCAAGUGUUGAUGGUGAAUAAAACCACUAAGUUCAAGAAAGGCAAGGGUAAGAAGAACUUCAAGAAGGACGACAAGGGAGUUGCCGCGCCCGGUAAGCCAGUUGCCGGGAAGAAGCCAAAGAAUGGACCCAAGCCUGAGACUGAGUGCUUUUAUUGCAAGGGAAAUGGUCACUGGAAGCGGAACUGCCCCAAGUACUUAGCGAACAAGAAGGCCGGCAACACCAAAGGUAUAUGUGAUAUACAUGUUAUUGAUGUGUACCUUACAGCACUCGUAGUAGCUCCUGGGUAUUUGAUACCGGUGCGGUUGCUCAUAUUUGUAACUCAAAGCAGGAGCUGCGGAAUAAAAGGAGACUGGCAAAGGACGAGGUGACGAUGCGCGUCGGGAAUGGUUCCAAGGUCGAUGUGAUCGCCGUCGGCACGCUACCUCUACAUUUACCUACGGGAUUAUUUUUAAACCUCAAUAAUUGUUAUUUAGUGCCAGCUUUGAGCAUGAACAUUGUAUCAGGAUCUCGUUUAAUUCGACAUGGCUACUCAUUUAAAUCCGAGAAUAAUGGUUGUUCUAUUUAUAUGAGAGAUAUGUUUUAUGGUCAUGCCCCGCUGGUUAAUGGUUUAUUCUUAAUGAAUCUCGAACGUAGUGUUACACAUAUUCAUAGUGUGAAUACCAAAAGAUGUAAGGUUGAUAAUGAUAGUCCCACAUACUUGUGGCACUGCCGUCUUGGUCACGUUGGUGUCAAACGCAUGAAGAAGCUCCAUGCAGAUGGACUUUUGGAGUCUCUUGAUUACGAAUCAUUUGACACAUGCGAACCAUGCCUCAUGGGUAAGAUGACCAAGACUCCGUUCUUCGGAACAAUGGAGCGAGCAACCAACUUAUUGGAAAUCAUACAUACUGAUGUGUGUGGUCCAAUGAGUGUUGAGGCUCGCGGUGGCUAUCGUUAUGUUCUCACUCUCACUGAUGACUUGAGUAGAUAUGGGUAUGUCUACCUAAUGAAACACAAGUCUGAGAGCUUUGAAAAGUUCAAGGAAUUUCAGAGUGAGGUUGAGAAUCAACGUGACAGGAAAAUAAAAUUCUUACGAUCAGAUCGUGGAGGGGAAUAUUCGAGUCACGAAUUUGGCACACACUUAAGGAAAUGUGGAAUAGUUUCACAACUCACACCGCCUGGAACACCUCAGCGAAAUGGUGUGUCUGAACGUCGUAAUCGCACUCUAUUGGAUAUGGUGCGAUCUAUGAUGUCUCUUACCGAUCUACCGCUCUCAUUUUGGGGCUAUGCUUUAGAGACUACCGCAUUCACUUUAAAUAGGGCUCCGUCGAAAUCUGUUGAGACGACACCGUAUGAAUUAUGGUUUGGGAAGAAACCUAAGCUGUCGUUUCUAAAAUUUUGGGGAUGCGAUGCUUAUGUGAAGAAACUUCAACCUGAAAAGCUCGAACCCAAAUCGGAAAAAUGCGUCUUCAUAGGAUACCCUAAGGAAACUAUUGGGUAUACCUUCUACCUCAGAUCCGAAGGCAAGGUCUUUGUUGCCAAGAAUGGAUGCUUUCUGGAGAAGGAGUUUCUCUCGAAAGAAGUGAGUGGGAGGAAAGUAGAACAUGAUGAGGUGAUAGUCACCCCUUCCGAACCGGAAAGUAGCGCAGCGCGGGAAGAUGUUCCUGUGGUGCCUGCACCGACUGGGGAGGAAGUUAAUGAUGAUGAUCAUGAAGCUUCGGAUCAAGCUCCUACUGAACUUCGUAGGUCCACAAGGACACGUUCCGCGCCAGAGUGGUACGGCAACCCUGUCUUGGAAAUCAUGUUGUUAGACAACGGUGAACCUUCGAACUAUGAAGAAGCAAUGGCGGGCCCAGAUUCCGACAAAUGGCUAGAAGCCAUGAAAUCCGAGAUAGGAUCCAUGUAUGAAAACGAAGUAUGGACUUUGACUGACUUGCCCGAUGAUCGGCGAGCCAUAGAAAAUAAAUGGAUCUUUAAGAAGAAGACAGACGCGGAUGGUAAUGUGACCAUCUAUAAGGCUCGACUUGUCGCUAAGGGUUAUCGACAAGUUCAAGGGGUUGACUAUGAUGAGACUUUCUCACCCGUAGCGAAGCUGAAGUCCGUCCGAAUCAUGUUAGCAAUUGCCGCAUUCUAUGAUUAUGAGAUAUGGCAAAUGGACGUCAAAACGGCAUUCCUUAACGGCUUUCUUAAGGAAGAAUUGUAUAUGAUGCAGCCGGAAGGUUUUGUCGAUCCUAAGAAUGCUAACAAGGUAUGCAAGCUCCAGCGCUCCAUCUAUGGGCUGGUGCAAGCAUCUCGGAGUUGGAACAUUCGAUUUUAUGAGAUGAUCAAAGCGUUUGGGUUUACACAGACUUAUGGAGAAGCCUGUGUUUACAAGAAAGUGAGUGGGAGCUCUGUAGCAUUUCUCAUAUUAUAUGUGGAUGACAUACUGUUGAUGGGAAAUGAUAUAGAAUUCUUGGGAAGCAUAAAGGCUACUUGAACAAGUGUUUUUCUAUGAAGGACCUUGGAGAAGCUGCUUAUAUAUUAGGCAUCAAGAUCUAUAGAGAUAGAUCAAGACGCCUCAUUGGUCUUUCACAAAGUACGUACCUUGACAAGAUAUUGAAGAAGUUCAAUAUGGAUCAGUCCAAGAAGGGGUUCUUGCUUGUAUUGCAAGGUGUGCAAUUGAGCACGGCUCAAUGCCCGACCACGGCAGAAGAUAGAGAAAAGAUGAGUGUCGUCCCCUAUGCCUCGGCCAUAGGGUCUAUUAUGUAUGCCAUGCUGUGUACCAGACCUGAUGUAAACCUUCGUAAGUUUGGUAGGAAGGUACCAAAGUAAUCCCGGCAUGGAACACUAGACAGCGGUCAAGAACAUCCUGAAGUACCUGAAAAGGACUAAGGAUAUGUUUCUCGUUUAUGGAGGUGACGAAGAGCUCGCCGUAAAGGGUUACGUCGAUGCUAGUUUCUACACAGAUCUGGAUGACUCUAAGUCACAAACCGGAUACAUGUAUAUUUUGAAUGGUGGGGCAGUAAGCUGGUGCAGUUGCAAGCAAAGCGUUGUGGCGGGAUCUACAUGUGAAGCGGAAUACAUGGCGGCCUCAGAGGCAGCACAAGAAGCAAUCUGGGUGAAGGAGUUCAUUACCGACCUAGGAGUUAUUCCCAAUGCGUCGGGCCCGAUGACUCUCUUCUGUGACAACACUGGAGCUAUUGCCCUUGCCAAGGAGCCCAGGUUUCACAGGAAGACCAGGCAUAUCAAGCGUCGCUUCAACUCCAUUCGUGAAAAUGUUCAAAAUGGAGACAUAGAUAUUUGUAAAGUACAUACGGACCUGAAUGUAGCAGAUCCGUUGACUAAACCUCUCCCUAGAGCAAAACAUGAUCAACACCAGAACUCUAUGGGUGUUCGAUUCAUCAUAAUGUAACUAGAUUAUUAACUCUAGUGCAAGUGGGAGACUGUUGGAAAUAUGCCCUAGAGGCAAUAAUAAAAUGGUUAUUAUUAUAUUUCCUUGUUCGUGAUAAUUGUCUAUUUUUCAUGCUAUAAUUGUGUUAUCCGGAAAUAGUAAUACAUGUGUGAAUACAUAGACCACAACAUGUCCCUAGUGAGCCUCUAGUUGACUAGCUCGUUGAUCAACAGAUAGUCAUGGUUUCCUGACUAUGGACAUUGGAUGUCAUUGAUAACGGGAUCACAUCAUUAGGAGAAUGAUGUGAUGGACAAGACCCAAUCCUAAGCAUAGCACAAGAUCGUGUAGUUCGUUUGCUAGAGCUUUUCCAAAUGUCAAGUAUCAUUUCCUUAGACCAUGAGAUUGUGCAACUCCUGGAUACCAUAGGAGUGCUUUGGGUGUGCCAAACGUCACAACGUAACUGGGUGGCUAUAAAGGUGCACUACGGGUAUCUCCGAAAGUGUUUGUUGGGUUGGCACGAAUCGAGACUGCGAUUUGUCACUCCGUAUGACGGAGAGGUAUCUCUGGGCCCACUUGGUAAUGCAUCAUCAUAAUGAGCUCAAUGUGACCAAGUGUUUGGUCACGGGAUCAUGCAUUACGGUACGAGUAAAGUGACUUGCCGGUAACGAGAUUGAACAAGGUAUUGGGAUACCGACGAUCGAAUCUCGGGCAAGUAACGUACCGAUUGACAAAGGGAAUUGUAUACGAGAUUGAUUGAAUCCUCGACAUCGUGGUUCAUCCGAUGAAAUCAUCGUGGAACAUGUGGGAGCCAACAUGGGUAUCCAGAUCCCGCUGUUGGUUACUGACCGGAGAGUCGUCUCGGUCAUGUCUGCAUGUCUCCCGAACCCGUAGGGUCUACACACUUAAGGUUCGGUGACGCUAGGGUUGUAGAGAUAUUAGUGUGCGGAAAUCCGAAAGUUGUUCGGAGUCCCGGAUGAGAUCCCGGACGUCACGAGGAGUUCCAGAAUGGUCCGGAGGUGAAGAAUUAUAUAUAGGAAGUCCAGUUUCGGCCACCGGGAAAGUUUUGGGGGUCACCGGUAUUGUACCGGGACCACCGGAAGGGUCCCGGGGGUCCACCGGGUGGGGCCACCAAUCCCGGAGAGCCCCAUGGGCUGAAGUGGGGAAGGGAACCAGCCCCUGGUGGGCUGGUGCGCCCCCUUGGGCCUCCCCUGCGCCUAGGGUUGGAAACCCUAGGGGUGGGGGGCGCCCCACUUGGCUUGGGGGGGCAAGCCACCCCCUUGGCAACCGCCCCCCUUGGAGAUUGCAUCUCCUAGGGCCGGCGCCCCCCAGGGGCCCUAUGUAAAGGGGGGAGGGAGGGCAGCCGCACCCAAGCCCUGGCGCCUCCCUCUCCCUCCCGUGACACUUCUCCCUCUCGCUGAGCUUGGCGAAGCCCUGCCGAGAUCCCCGCUGCUUCCACCACCACGCCGUCGUGCUGCUGGAUCUCCAUCAACCUCUCCUCCCCCCUUGCUGGAUCAAGAAGGAGAAGACGUCUUCCCAACCGUACGUGUGUUGAACGCGGAGGUGCCGUCUGUUCGGCGCUCGGUCAUCGGUGAUUUGGAUCACGACGAGUACGACUCCAUCAACCCCGUUCUCUUGAACGCUUCCGCUCGCAAUCUACAAGGGUAUGUAGAUGCACUCCUCUCUCUCGUUGCUAGAUGACUCCAUAUAUUGAUCUUGGUGAUGCAAAGAAAAUUUUAAAUUUCUGCUACGAUCCCCAACAUGGGCGUGCCACGGGGGUGCGCCCUCUUCGCCUGUAGGUGGAGUUGAGAUGGGACCGACUUUUCCCAGCAAAUUGCCUGAGUUUUCCAGGCGCUUUCCAUCGCGCUGUACUUUUAUACAAUAGUUGCUAAGUCAGCGAACUUCAGUGUGCAGCGGCGAUUGAUGGCGUUAAGGAUACCUUCGUCCGCCCAGUUGGUGCAGAACGCUGAUAUCGCGUCCUUGUCGCGGCAAUGUUUUACCUUAUCUUUGACAAGGAGGAAUCUGGCCUAGAAGUGGUGGACCGUUUCCUGAGACUGCUGUUUGAUGCUCAUGAGAGCGUCUAUGUCCGGGUGGGUGGGUGGAAUUAAAUCCGAACCCUGAUCCGACCAAUUACCCGGAGUCCGAAGACCUUCCAGACUCAACAGUCCGGGCUCCGAAGUAUCUUCUAAUUGUUUAGGACUGCCGUCCGAUUCUAUGUUCGGAGGGCUGGUCGCAUCCUUUCGCUGGUGGGUAUCCGGUUCUUCCAGGUCGGUGAUCCGAACAUAGUCUGUCUUCCAUAUAGAAGAAGACUCGCCGUCCUGCUCCUCGACUACCGCUAUCUGGUGGGUGACCGGUGGAGUUUUAAUUUCUCCUUGAUCGGUUUUAGGCCCGAUCCGGUCGUAACUUGUGGUGAUUCCCAAAGCGGCGAUGCGAUCUAGGAGCUCGUUCAAGGACGAAAACUCUGCCGGAUCCAUCUUCCUGGAGUGUUCGGAGUUGAUGCGAAGGGGGUUUUCGAUGGCCCGAGAGGUCAUCGUCGGCUCAACGGCCGAACGGGCGAUCAUGGUAAAGCCGCCAAGCCGGAGGGUUUGGCCUGGGGCCAGGACUCCCCCGGAGGUGAUGUUGUCUUUAAGGACAAGGCGAGUCAUCGAACCUUUCGUUGACGGCACAGUGGAACUCUCAAUGAAAGCACCAAUGUCGGUGCCAAAACCGGCGGAUCUCGGGUAGGGGGUCUCGAACUGUGCGUCUAAGGUCGAUGGUAACAGGAGACGGGGGACACGAUGUUUACCCAGGUUCGGGCCCUCUCUAUGGAGGUAAUACCCUACUUCCUGCUUGAUUUAUCUUGAUGAAUAUGAGUAUUACAAGAGUUGAUCUACCACGAGAUCGUAAUGGCUAAACCCUAGAGACCUAGCCUGUAUGACUAUGGUAAUGAGUAUAUCCUUUCCGGACUACGACCUCCGAUUUAUAUAGACACCGGAGGGAUCUAGGGUUACAUAGAGUCGGUUACAUAAGAAGGAAUCUUCAUAGUCGGUCGCCUAGCUUGCCUCCCACGCCAAGGAAAUUCCUAUCCGGAUACGGGUAUAGUCUUCGGUCUUCAUGUCUUCACAGCCCACCAGUCCGGCCCAUGGAUAACAGGUCGGACGUCCGAGGACCCCUUAGUCUAGGACUCCCUCAACAGGGACUACGGAUUAAGCGAAGAUUGGCUAAGGACGAGGUGACAAUGCGCGUGGGAAAUGGUUCCAAAGUCGAUGUGAUCGCGGUCGGCACGCUACCUCUACAUCUACCUCCGGGAUUAGUUUUAGACCUAAAUAAUUGUUAUUUGGUGCCAGCGUUAAGCAUGAACAUUAUAACUGGAUCUUGUUUGAUGCGAGACGGUUAUUCAUUUAAAUCAUAGAAUAAUGGUUGUUCUAUUUUAUAUGAGUAAUAUCUUUUAUGGUCAUGCACCCUUGAAGAGUGGUCUAUUUUUAUUAAAUCUCGAUAGUAGUGAUACACAUAUUCAUAAUAUUGAAGCCAAAAGAUGCAGAGUUGAUAAUGAUAGUGCAACUUAUUUGUGGCACUGCCGUUUAGGUCAUAUUGGUGUAAAGCGCAUGAAGAAACUCCAUACUGAUCGACUUUUGGAAUCACUUGGUACUUGCGAACCAUGCCUCAUGGGCAAGAUGACUAAAACACCGUUCUCCGGAACAAUGGAGCGAGCAACAGAUUUGUUGGAGAUCAUACAUACUGAUGUAUGUGGUCCGAUGAAUAUUGAGGCUCGCGGCGGGUAUCGUUAUUUUCUCACCUUCACAGAUGAUUUGAGCAGAUAUGGGUAUAUCUACUUAAUGAAACAUAAGUCUGAGACAUUUGAAAAGUUCAAAGAAUUUCAGAGUGAAGUGGAAAAUCAUCGUAACAAGAAAAUAAAGUUUCUACGAUCUGAUCGUGGAGGAGAAUAUUUGAGUUACGAAUUUUGUCUACAUUUGAAACAAUGCGGAAUAGUUUCGCAACUCAUGCCACCCUGAACACCAUAGCGUAAUGGUGUGUCCGAACGUCAUAAUCGUACUUUACUAGAUAUGGUGUGAUCUAUGAUGUCUCUUACUGAUUUACCGCUAUCGUUUUGGGGUUAUGCUUUAGAGACGGUUGCAUUCACGUUAAAUAGGGCACCAUCAAAAUCCGUUGAGACGACGUCUUAUGAACUGUGGUUUGGCAAGAAACCAAAGUUGUCGUUUCUUAAAGUUAGGGGCUGCAAUGCUUAUGUGAAAAAGCUUCAACCUGAUAAGCUCGAACCCAAAUCGAAGAUAUGUGUCUUCAUAGGAUACCCAAAGGAAACUGUUGGGUACACCUUCUAUCACAGAUCCGAAGGCAAGACAUUCGUUGCUAAGAAUGGAUCCUUUCUAGAGAAGGAGUUUCUCUCGGAAGAAGUGAGUGGGAGGAAAGUAGAACUUGAUGAGGUAACUGUACCUGCUCCUUUAUUGGAAAGUUGUUCAUCAUAGAAACCGAUUCCUGUGACACCUACACCAAUUAGUGAGGAAGCUAAUGAUGUUGAUCAUGAAACUUCAGAUCAAGUUACUACCAAAUCUCAUAGGUCAACCAGAGUAAGAUCCGCACCAGAGUGGUACGGUAAUCCUAUUCUGGAGGUCAUGUUACUUGACCAAGGCAAACCUACGAACUAUGAAGAAGCGAUGGUGAGCCCAGAUUCCGCAAAAUGGCUUGAGGCCAUGAAAUCUGAGAUGGGAUCCAUGUAUGAGAACAAAGUGUGGACUUUGGUUGACUUGCCCGAUGAUCGGCAAGCCAUAGAAAAUAAAUGGACCUUCAAGAAGAAGACUGACGCUGACGGUAAUGUUACUAUCUACAAAGCUCGACUUGUUGCAAAAGGUUUUCGACAAGUUCAAGGAGUUGACUACGAUGAGAAUUUCUCACCCGUAGCGAUGUUUAAGUCUGUCUGAAUCAUGUUAGCAAUUGCUGCAUUUUAUGAUUAUGAAAUUUGGCAAAUGGAUGUCAAAACUACAUUCCUGAAUGGAUUUCUGGAAGAAGAGUUGUAUAUGAUGCAACCGGAAGGUUUUGUCGAUCCAAAGGGAGCGAACAAAGUGUGCAAGCUCCAGCGAUCCAUUUAUGGACUGGUGCAAGCCUCUCGGAGUUGGAAUAAACGUUUUGAUAGUGUGAUCAAAGCAUAUGGUUUUAUACCGACUUUUGGAAAGCCUAUAUUUACAAGAAAGUGAGUGGGAGCUCUGUAGCAUUUCUAAUAUUAUAUGUGGAUGACAUAUUAUAUGUAGAAUUUUUGAAUAGCAUAAAAGGAUACUUGAAUAAGAGUUUUUCAAUGAAGGCCCUCGGUGAAGCUGCUUAUAUAUCGGGCAUCAAGAUCUAUAGAGAUAGAUCAAGACGCUUAAUUGGACUUUCACAAAGCACAUACCUUGACAAAGUUUUGAAGAAGUUCAAAAUGGAUCAAGCAAAGAAAGGGUUCUUGCCUGUGUUACAAGGUGUGAAGUUGAGUCAGACUCAAUGCCCGACCACUGUAGAAGAUAGAGAGAAAAUGAAAGGUGUUCCCUAUGCUUCAGCCAUAGGCUCUAUCAUGUAUGCAAUGCUGUGUACCAGACCUGAUGUGUGCCUUGCUAUUAGCUUAGCAGGGAGGUACCAAAGUAAUCCAUGGAUGGAUCACUGGACAGCGGUCAAGAAUAUCCUGAAAUACCUGAAAAGGACGAAGGAUAUGUUUCUCGUUUAUGGAGGUGACAAAGAGCUCGUCGUAAAUGGUUACAUUGAUGCAAGCUUUGACACUGAUCCGGACGAUUCUAAAUCGCAAACCGGAUACGUGUUUACAUUGAACGGUUGAGCUGUCAGUUGGUGCAGUUCUAAACAAAGCGUCGUGGCGGGAUCUACGUGUGAAGUGGAGUACAUAGCUGCUUCAGAAGCAGCAAAUGAAGGAGUCUGGAUGAAGGAGUUCAUAUCCGAUCUAGAUGUCAUACCUAGUGCAUCGGGUCCAAUGAAAAACUUUUGUGACAAUACUGGUGCAAUUGCCUUAGCAAAGGAAUCCAGAUUUCACAAGAGAACCAAGCACAUCAAGAGACGCUUCAAUUCCAUCCGGGACCAAGUCCAGGUGGGAGACAUAGAGAUUUGCAAGAUACAUACGGAUCUGACCCGUUGACUAAGCCUCUUCCAUGAGCAAAACAUGAUCAGCACCAAGACUCCAUGGGUGUUAGAAUCAUUAAUGUGUAAUCUAGAUUACUGACUCUAGUGCAAGUGGGAGACUGAAGGAAAUAUGCCCUAGAGGCAAUAAUAAAGUUAUUAUUUAUUUCCUCAUAUCAUGAUAAAUGUUUACUAUUCAUGCUAGAAUUGUAUUAACCGAAAACAUAAUACACGUGUGAAUACAUAGACAAACAUAGUGUCACUAGUAUGCCUCUACUUGACUAGCUCGUUGAUCAAAGAUGGUUGAGUUUCAUAGCCAUAGACAUGAGUUGUCAUUGGAUUCACGGGAUCACAUCAUUAGGAGAAUGAUGUGAUUGACUUGACCCAUUCCGUUAGCUUAGCACUUGAUCGUUUAGUUUACUGCUAUUGCUUUCUUCAUGACUUAUACAUGUUCCUAUGACUAUGAGAUUAUGCAACUCCAGAUUACCGGAGGAACACUUUGUGUGCUACCAAACGUCACAACGUAACUGGGUGAUUAUAAAGGUGCUCUACAGGUGUCUCCGAUGGUACUUGUUGAGUUGGCAUAAAUCGAGAUUAGGAUUUGUCACUCCGAUUGUCGGAGAGGUAUCUCUGGGCCCUCUCGGUAAUGCACAUCACUAUAAGCCUCGCAAGCAAUGUGACUAAUAAGUUAGUUGCGGGAUGAUGCAUUACGGAACGAGUAAAGAUACUUGCCGGUAACGAGAUUGAGCUAGGUAUUGAGAUACCGACGAUCGAAUCUCGGGCAAGUAACAUACCGAUGAUAAAGGGAACAACGUAUGUUGUUAUGCGGUUAGACCGAUAAAGAUCUUCAUAGAAUAUGUAGGAGCCAAUAUGAGCAUCCAGGUUCCGCUAUUGGUUAUUGACCGGAGACGUGUCUCAUUCAUGUCUACAUAGUUCUCGAACCCAUAGGGUCCGCACACUUAAAGUUCUGUGACGAUCGGUAUUAUGAGUUUUUGUGUUUUGAUGUACCGAAGGUAGUUCGGAGUCCCGGAUGUGAUCACAGGCAUGACGAGGAGUCUCAAAAUGGUCGAAACAUAAAGAUCGAUAUAUUGGACGGCUAUGUUCGAACACCGGAAAGGUUCCGGAAGGUUUCAGGCAUAUACCGGAGUACCGGGGGUUACCGGAACCCCCCGGGGAGUUAAUUGGGCCUCAUGGGCCCUAGUGGGAGAAGAGGAGGGGCGGCCAGGGCAGCCGCGUGCCCCCUCCCCUCUAGUUCGAAUUGGACAAGGAGGGGGGCGGCGCCCCCCUUUUUCCUUCUCUUCCUCUCUCCCUUCCUUUCCUUCUCCUACUCCUACUAGGAAAAGAGGAGUCCUACUCCCGGUGGGAGUAGGACUCCCCCCUUGGCGCGCCCUCCUCUUGGCCGGCCACCUCCCCCUAGCUCCUUUAUAUACGGGUGCAGGGGGUACCCCAAAGACACAACAAUUGAUCAUUGAUCAUUUAGCCGUGUGCGGUGCCCCCCUCCACCACAAUCCACCUCGGUCAUAUCGUAGCGGUGCUUAGGCAAAGCCCUGCGUCGGUAGCUUCAUCAACAUCGUCACCACACUGUCGUGCUGACGAAACUAUCCUUCGAUCUCUACUGGAUCGUGAGUUCGUGGGACGUCACCGAGCUGAACGUGUGCUGAACGCGGAGGUGCCGUAUGUUUGGUGCUGAAGAUCGGUCGAUCGUAAAGACGUACGACUACAUCAACCGCGUUGUUAUAACGCUUCCUCUUAACGGUCUACGAGGGUACGUGGACGACACUUUCCCCUCUCGUUGCUAUGCAUCACCAUGAUCUUGGGUGUGCGUAGGAAUUUUUUUGAAAUUACUACGUUCCCCUACACUAUCUUGCAUACAAAAACGUUUCGAGUCGGUAGUGGUAAUAUUAUUGGGAAGGGAGUUAUUCAAGACUUCUUUACUUGUGCCGGUGCUUUGCUCAUUAUGGGUGGUUCUAUUCUUCAUAGAACUAGUAGUCUUGCGGAUGCAAUAUCCUUGCUCGUAGUUGAACUUGAAAGGCAAUUUCUUCAUAUGCAUCCUUGCAUACAAAGAAUUUUCCUAGAAUUUUCUAAUAUUGAGUACUCUUCUGUUAAGCGUGACGCUACUAUCUUUUUGGCUCAUGAGUUCAGAUUUAUAAUGAAAGAAGCUAAAGAAAUUUUUGCGCAUUAUAGGGUGGAUGUUGGUCAUCCUCCCAUAGAAGCUAUCCUUUUUAAUCAAGAAGACAUAAUGCGUUUACAAUCUUUGGAUCAUGCUGCUUAUAAUGAAAACCUUAGAAAAAAGGUUCCUACCGAUGUCCUAGUUGAUAGAAUUUCCGAACUUAAUGAUGACUUUGCUAUUUAGAAUAAUGGGUUAGGUUUUUCUCUUGAGCAAAGACUCAUGACUUUUUGUCAAAAGAACGCUUGUAAUGAUGAAUUGGUUGUGCAAUAUAAGGGGCCAAGGGAGGAACCCAUACCUCUCGAGCUUGAUCUUGGGGACUUUUGUCCUAUUAAAUUUAACCCCUUUGAUUACUUUUGCUUGCCACAAAGGAAACUUGCUGCUGAACGUAGAGAAUACGAAAGGAGUUUUCAUGAUUUACCUUACCAUUAUUAUGGCAAUACCUAGAUCUAUCCUCGCUUUUAUGCCUAGCUAGGGGCGUUAAACGAUAGCGCUUGUUGGGAGGCAACCCAAUUUUAUUUUUGUUUCUUGCUUUUUGGUUCUGUUUAGUAAUAAAUUUUUGAUCUAGCCUCUGGUUAGAUGUGGUUUUGUGUUUUAAUUUGUGUUUGUGCCAAGUAGAACCUUUAGGAUAACCUACGGUGGUAGUUAAUUUGAUCUUGCUCAAAAACAGAAACUUUUGCGCGCACGAGAUUAGUUUUCAUAAAUCACAGAAACGUGCUUUUCAGUUGAUUAUUUUUGCAGAAGAUUAAUAAAAUAAUUAUCUAGGACUUCCUAAUUUAUCAGAAUUUUUUGUAUUACAGAAGUUUAUACAGAUUGCUACACACUGUUCUGUUUCUGACAGAUUCUGUUUUUUGUGUGUUGUUUGCUUAUUUUGAUGAAUCUAUGGCUAGUAAUGGAGCUUAUGAACCAUAGAGAAGUUUGAAUACAGUAGGUUUAACACCAAUAUAAAUAAAGAAUGAGUUCAUUACAGUACCUUGAAGUGGUGUUUUGUUUUUUUUCGCUAACGGAGCUCACGAGAUUUUCUGUUAAGUUUUGUGUUGUGAAGUUUUCAAGUUUUGGGUAAAGAUUUGAUGGAUUAUGGAACAAGGAUUGGCAAGAGCCUAAGCUUGGGGAUGCCCAAGGCACCCCAAGGUAAAAUUCAAGGACAACCAAAAGCCUAAACUUGGGGAUGCCCCGGAAGUCAUCCCCUCCUUCGUCUUCGUCUAUCGGUAACUUUACUUGGGGCUAUAUUUUUAUUCACCACAUGAUAUGUGUUUUGCUUGGAGCGUCUUGUAUGAUUUGAGUCUUCACUUUUUAGUUUACCACAAUCAUCCUUGCUGUACACACCUUUUGAGAGAGACACACAUGAUUCGGAAUUUGUUAGAAUACUAUAUGUGGUUCACUUAUAUCUUUUGAGCUAUAUAGUUUUUGCUCUAGUGCUUCACUUAUAUGUUUUUAGAGCACGGUGGUGGUUUUAUUUUAUAGAAAUUAUUGAUCUCUCAUGCUUCACUUAUAUUAUUUUGAGAGUCUUAACAGCAUGGUAAUUUGCUUUGACAUCUAAGAUGGGUAUAAUAAACACCUCCAUAUUGAGUUCAUUGAAUAUCAUGAGAAGUUGAUACUUGAUAAUUGUUUUGAGAUAUAAAGGUGGUAAUAUUAGAGUUGUGCUAGUUGAGUAAUUGUGAAAUUGAGAAAUACUUGUGUUAAGGUUGGCAAGUCCCGUAGCAUGCACGUACGGUUAAUGUUCUGUGACAAAUUUGAAGCAUAAGGUGUUCUUUUAUUGCUUUCCUUAUGUGUGGAGGUCGGGAUCUCGCGAUGGUUAACUCCUACCAACCCUUCCCCUAGGGGCAUGCGUAGUAGUACUUUGCUUCGAGGGCUAAUAAACUUUGGCAAUAAGUAUAUGAGUUCUUUAUGACUAAUGUGAGUCCAUGGCUUAUACGCACUCUCAACCUUCCACAAUUUUCUAGCCUCUACGGUACCGUGCAUUGCCCUUUCUCGCCUUGAGAGUUGGUGCAAACUUCGCCGGUGCAUCAAAACCCCAAGAUAUGAUACGCUCUAUCACACAUAAACCUCCUUAUAUCUUCCUCAAAACAGCCACCAUACCUACCUAUCAUGGCAUUUCCAUAGCCAUUCUGAGAUAUAUUGCCAUGCAACUUUCCACCGCUCCGUUUAUUAUGACACGCUCCAUCAUUGUCAUAUUGCUUCGCAUGAUCAUGUAGUUGACAUCGUAUUUGUGGCAAAGCCACCAUUCAUAAUUUUUCAUACAUGUCACUCUUGAUUCAUUGCAUAUCCCGGUACACCGCCGGAGGCAUUCACAUAGAGUCAUAUUUUGUUCUAAGUAUUGAGUUGUAAUUCUUGAGUUGUAAGUGUGAUGAUCAUCAUUAUUAGAGCAUUGUCCCAUGUGAGGAAAGGAUGAUGGAGACUAUGAUUCCCCCACAAGUCGGGAUGAGAUUCGAACUAAAUAAAAAAAGAGGCCAAAGAAAAAAACAAAAAGGCCCAAGAAAAAGAAAAAAAGAAAAAAAA
rnacentral:lncRNA from 1 species